rnacentral:lncRNA from 1 species
CAAAAAAAAAACUACGCACACGCAAGAUCAUGGUGAUGCAUAGCAACGAGAGGGGAGAGUGUUGUCCACGUACCCUCGUAGACCGAUAGCGGAAGCGUUAACACAACGCGGUUGAUGUAGUCGUACGUCUUCACGAUUCGACCGAUCAAGUACCGAACGCACGGCACCUCCGAGUUCAGCACACGUUCAGCUCGAUGACGUCCCUCGAACUCCGAUCCAGCCGAGUGUUGAGGGAGAGUUUCGUCAGCACGACGGCGUGGUGACAAUGAUGAUGUUCUACCAACGCAGGGCUUCGCCUAAGCACUGCUACGAUAUUAUCGAGGUGUAAUAUGGUGGAGGGGGGCACCGCACACGGCUAAGAGAUCAAUGAUCAAUUGUGUGUUGUGAGGUGCCCCCUGCCCCCGUAUAAAAGGAGCAAGGGGGGUUCGGCCGGCCAAGGGGAGAGGCGCGCCAGGAGGAGUCCUACUCCUACCGGGAGUAGGACUCCCACCCUUUUCCAUGUUGGACUAGGAGAGAGAGAGGGAAGAGGUGAAGGGGAGGAAGGAAAGGGGGGCGCCGCCCCCCUCUCCUUGUCCUAUUCGGACUGGGGGGAGGGGCGUGCGGCCCUGCCUGGCCUCCUCUCCUCUCUUCCACCUAGGCCCACUAAGGCCCAUUAAGUUACCGGGGGGUUCCGGUAAUCUCCCGGUACUCCGGAAAAAUCCUGAUUUCACCCGGAACACUUCUGAUAUCCAAACAUAGGCUUCCAAUAUAUCAAUCUUUAUGUCUCGACCAUUUCGAGACUCCUCGUCAUGUCUGUGAUCACAUCCGGGACUCCGAACAACCUUCGGUACAUCAAAACAUAUAAACUCAUAAUAUAACUGUCAUCGUAACGUUAAGCGUGCGGACCCUACGGGUUUGAGAACUAUGUAGACAUGACCGAGACACCUCUCCGAUCAAUAACCAAUAGCGGAACCUGGAUGCUCAUAUUGGCUCCCACAUAUUCUACGAAGAUCUUUAUCGGUCAGACCGCAUAACAACAUACAUUGUUCCCUUUGUCAUCGGUAUGUUACUUGCCCGAGAUUCGAUCGUCGGUAUCUCGAUACCUAGUUCAAUCUCGUUACCGGCAAGUCUCUUUACUCGUUCCGUAAUACAUCAUCCCGCAACUAACUCAUUAGUUACAAUGCUUGCAAGGCUUAUAGUGAUGUGUAUUACUGAGUGGUCCCAGAGAUACCUCUCCGUCAAUCCGAGUGACAAAUCCUAAUCUCGAAAUACGCCAACCCAACAAGUACCUUUGGAGACACCUGUAGAGCACCUUUAUAAUCACCCAGUUAUGUUGUGACGUUUGGUAGCACACAAAGUGUUCCUCCGGUAAACGGGAGUUGCAUAAUCUCAUAGUCAUAGGAACAUGUAUAAGUCAUGAAGAAAGCAAUAGCAACAUACUAAACGAUCGAGUGCUAAGCUAACGGAAUGGGUCAAGUCAAUCACAUCGUUCUCCUAAUGAUGUGAUCCCAUUAAUCAAAUGACAACUCAUGUCUAUGGCUAGGAAACAUAACCAUCUUUGAUCAACGAGCUAGUCAAGUAGAGGCAUACUAGUGACACUCUGUUUGUCUAUGUAUUCACACAAGUAUUAUGUUUCCGGUUAAUACAAUUCUAGCAUGAAUAAUAAACAUUUAUCAUGAUAUAAGGAAAUAAAAAAUAACUUUAUUAUUGCCUCUAGGGCAUAUUUCCUUCAACAUACGGAUCUGAAUAUUGCAGACCCAUUGACUAAGCCUCUCUCACGAGCAAAACAUGAUCAGCACCAAGACUCCAUGGGUGUUAGAAUCAUUACUGUGUAAUCUAGAUUAUUGACUCUAGUGCAAGUGGGAGACUGAAGUAAAUAUGCCCUAGAGGCAAUAAUAAAGUUGUUAUUUAUAUUUCCUUAUAUCAUGAUAAAUGUUUAUUUUUCAUGCUAGAAUUGUAAUAAACGGAAACUUAGUACAUGUGUGAAUACAUAGACAAACAGAGUGUCACUAGUAUGCCUCUACUUGACUACCUCGUUAAUUAAAGAUGGUUAAGUUUCCUAGACAUAGACAUGAGUUGUCAUUUGAUUAACGGGAUCACAUCAUUAGAGAAUGAUGUGAUUGACAAGACCCAUCCAUUAGCUUAGCACGAUGAUCGUUUAGUUUGUUGCUAUUGCUUUCUUCAUGACUUAUACAUGUUCCUAUGACUAUGAGAUUAUGCAACUCCCGAAUACCGGAGGAACACUUAGUGUGCUACCAAACGUCACAACAUAGCUGGGUGAUUAUAAAGAUGCUCUACAGGUGUCUCUGAUGGUGUUUCUUGAGCUGGCAUAGAUCGAGAUUAGGAUUUGUCACUCCGAUUGUCGGAGAGGUAUCUCUGGGCCAUCUCGGUAAUGCACAUCACUAUAAGCCUUGCAAGCAAUGUGACUAAUGACUUAGUUGCAGGAUGAUGCAUUACGAAACGAGUAAAUAGACUUGCCGGUAACGAGAUUGAACUAGGUAUUCAGAUACCGACGAUCGAAUCUCGGGCAAGUGACAUACCGAUGAAAAAGGGAACAACGUAUGUUGUUAUGUGGUAUGACCGAUAAAGAUCUUCGUAGAAUAUGUGGGAACCAAUAUGAGAAUCCAGGUUCCACUACUGGUUAUUGACCGGAGAUGAGCCUCGGUCAUGUCUACAUAGUUCUCGACCCCGUAGGGUCCGCACGCUUAACGUUUGAUGACGAUUGGUAUUAUGAGUUUAUGUGUUUUGAUGUACCGAAGGUUGUUCGGAGUCCUGGAUGUGAUCAGAAGGUUAUGUUUGGACACUGGAAAUGUUUCGGAUGAGUUCGGGAAUUUUCCGGAGUACCGGGAGGUUACCGGAACCCCUCGGGGGCUUAAUGGGCCUACAUGGGCUUUAGUGGAAGAGCGAGGAGGCGGCCAAGAGGUGGGGCGCCCCCUCCCCCCAAGCCCAAUCCGAAUUGGGAAGGGGGCCGGCCCCCCUUUCCUUCUUCUCCUCUUCCCCUUCCUUCCCCCUCCUAUUAGGACUAAGAAAGGGGGGAACCUACUCCUAGUAGGAGUAGGAUUCCCCCCUUGGGGGCGCACCAUGAGGGCCGGCCGGCCCCCUCCUCCCCUCCUUUAUAUACGGGGGAGGGGGCACCCCAUAGACACACAAGUUGAUUGUUUUAGCCAUGUGCGGUGCCCCCCUCCACAGAUUUCCACCUCGGUCAUAUCGUUGUAGUGCUUAGGUGAAGCCCUGCGUCGGUAACUUCAUCAUCACCGUCAUCACGCCGUCGUGCUAACGAAACUCUCCCUCGUCCUCAGCUGGAUCAAGAGUUCGAGGGAUGUCACCGAGCUGAACGUGUGCAGAUCGCGGAGGUGCCGUGCGUUCGGUACUUGAUCGGUUGGAUCGCGAAGACGUUCAACUACAUCAACCGCAUUACUUAACACUUUCGCUUUCGGUCUACGAGGGUAUGUGGACAAACUCUCCCGCUCAUUGCUAUGCAUCACAUAGAUAUAUCUUGCGUGAUCGUAGGUAAAUUUUUUGAAAUACUGCGUUCCCCAACACGGACUUACUUCACGACAUCAUCGGCCGCGUUGGUUCUGAGUUUCGGCUGAAGGACUUGGGCGCAUUGCACUUCUUCCUCGGUAUUAAUGUGCGACGUGAUGCCUCCAGAUUUUUUCUUCAUCAAGGACAGUAUGCUCUUGAUCUAUUGGAUCGUGCUGGCAUGACCGACUGCAAACCUGUUGGUACUCCUGCCGAGGCCCAGCCGAAGCUGUCUGACACUGCUGGACAGCCUGCCACUGAUGUCGCUCUCUACCACAGUAUUUUUGGUGCUCUUUAGUACCUCAUGCUCACCAGACCAGACAUUCAGUUUACCGUGCAGCAAGUUUGCUUGCACAUGCACUCGCCUCAUGAUGUUCACUCGUCUCUGGUCAAGCGCAUUCUCUAGUACCUUCACGGCACACUGACCUUCGUCCUUCGUCUUCGUGCCUCCGCCUCCACCGAGCUGUUUGCUUACACUAAUGCGGAUUGGGCCGGCUAUCCUGACACUCGACGAUCUACGUUGGGAUAUUGUGUCUUCUUCGGUGAUUCUCUCACCUCAUGUUCCUCUAAGCGGCAUCCCACCGUCUCCCGCCCGAGUGCUAAGGCCGAGUACCGUGUCAUCGCCAAUGUUGUUGCCAAGACAUGUUGGCUACGUCAACUACUUGGCGAACUUCGGGUCUCAAUCCCGAAAGCUACAGUGGUUUUCUAUGAUAAUGUUUCGGCCACCUACCUCGCGGCCAAUCCGGUGCAGCAUAAGCGCGCCAAGCACAUUGAACUUGAUGUUCACUUCGUCCGCGAGAAGGUUCAGUUGGGUCAGCUCCGUGUCCUUCAUAUACCGACCACCCAACAGUUUGCCGACAUUAUGACCAAAGGGCUUCCAACCGCUGCAUUCUAGGAGUUCCGUUCCAGUCUUUGCAUCGCUGACGCCGACGCUUCGACUGCAGGGGGUGUUGAACGUGACAUAUUUGUAUUACUAUUUCUAUCUUCUCUAGCCAUGUAUAGUUGACUCCUAGAGCUAUGGUAGGAUUAGUUUCCUUGUCACACAAGACAUCGCGUGUAUAUAUUGUGACCAACUCCGAGGAAUACAAUUGAGUUGCAUCCCACAUCUUUCUACAGUUACAACUUGAAGGCAAUUUUGAUAAAACUUGAUUGCAUAGAUGCGUUGACUUUUCUUUGGCUGGAGGCAUCCAUUUGUACUAAAAGGUGUGGAGGGAGAUCCACAUCGGGAUUAUGCACCACAAUUGAAAACUAAGAACUCUAAUCUGAUCUCUUUAGCAAAAGGAACCCUAACUAGCCUAGAGUGCUAAAUUAAGGAACUGAUGUAUGCCACACUAGCUAGUUGGAUCAUAUCUUCAACUGAGCAUCUUUAGCCGAUCAAUACUGGGCACUGAAAUCAGGUGAUCUAAUUUUGUCGUUAGUUGGCCCAACUUGGUAUGUACUUUUUCGUAGGCAUUUACUUUGGCGGGGAUCCUUUUGGUUGGCGUUUAGCCAGACAAAAUUGCAGUUGUGGUGCUAACUGAUGUCUACUCACUAUGGGAAGUAAUUUCGACACUUCAUUUAUUAGUUUGUAGACUUAUCUUGUCUUAAUAUGUGUGAUGUUACUCAUAGUACUAGUGAAGCCUAACUAGCUAUGUUACUCAAUUCAUCUCUCUCCCUAUUAAAUCAUUGCCACAUAAGCAAAUUUGCUGAGUUAGAUCUUAUGUUACUGCUGAAGUUACUUCCACUGUGGGUAGUCUAAGGCCGAUCACUAUACUAGUGUAUUAUACUACCUUCACAAUACAUAGUAUCAUAACUUGGUACCUCAUUUAUUGACAUGCAUGACACAAACUAGUACAUCAUUUAAUAUGAUACGGUAUCAUAUCAUGAUGCCCAACCUCCUCUUUCCUUAUUUAAUUGUGUGACACCUCAACAAAAAUAAUCUAGUUAUCAUGCACGAUACUACCUAUGAUACUCCCAUUGUGACAAGUCUAAUUAUUCCAAGUCAGAAUUAGUUGAAGGACCAAUUAAUUAAGUACUCCCUCCGUCCGAUAUUAAUUGUCGCUCAAACGGAUGUAUCUAGCUAUGCUAGAUACAUGCGUUCGAGCGACAAUUAAUAUAGGACAAAGGGAUUAUACAGUUUUUUCCAGAAAGGAGGAUGACCUGUGUCCUCUGCAUCAAAACGAUGCAUGUAGCCAUUUUAUUAAUUAUUCAUCAAGACCUCUAGCUGCUGGGGAGUACAUCUCUAGCUGUCGGUUUGUUUGGACUACUCUAUAGGAAGACAUUUUCUUGCCGCACAACGGAUGUUGCCAAAUUGUGCUAUUCUGGUCUAAACAUAAGGACAUAUAAUACUAUGUUUCCUUCACACAAAAAUUAUUAUUGAAUCGUGAAGCUUUUUGUAAAGGCUUGUGACUUUGGCUUAUUCUUUUGCAUCAUUCACCGAAUCAGGAGGAGAAUAAUUAACCAAAGUUAUGUAAUCUUCUUAGCUGCAUUCUACAGUAGUACUCUCUCUCACUAGUAGAAAAAGGGCCAUUCAUCCUGGUUCGUAAGGGCCAUUUGUCCCGGUUGUUGAACCGGGACUAAAGGGUCGUUACUAAAGCCCUAGGCCUUUAGUCCCGGUUCUUACACGAACCGAGACAGAUGGGCCUCCACGUGGCCGGUGCGGCGAGCCCAGGAAGGAGGCCCUUUGGUCCCAGUUGGUGGCACCAACCGGGACCAAUAGGCGUCCAUGCGUUCAGCAGCUGGCAGGAGCUGAGGUUUUUGUUUUUUUAAGGGGGUGGUUUUGGGGUUUUGGGGGGUUAAUUUAGGUGUUUCAUAUAUUGUGUUAGCUAGCUAAUUAAUAGAGAGAAGUGUCCUCUCUUAUCUCCGUGCUUGGUCGACGCUACGUACUAUACGUAUAGAGAGGACUCGACACGCUAGCUAGUAAGCAAAUGAAGGAAACAGAAGAUCGUCAUGAACAUAUGCAUACAGAGAGAAGUGAUAUCGACCACCUCUCCUCCGAGAGAUUGGUCGAACAACAAGUUCUCGUAUAUCUAUCCGACGCUAUAGGCUACAUAUAUACAAUAUAAUUAUCUCUUACAAUAUAAUCUCCUAAUUAUAUAUGAACUCAGGGUCCACAUGGUAUUCUCCGUCUUUAUCGAUCACGUGGUCAAGAAAUAAUGCCGCCAAUUCCUCUUGAAUUGCUCGCAUACGAUCUGGUGGUAGGAGUUCAUCCCGCAUCUGAAACAUCUAAUUUUAAGAAGGGGGUCAAUACAUAUAUAUAUGAAUAAAUGAAACUCAACACAAAUGAUGGUAAUAAAAUAAAAUUGUGAAUAUUAUUAUUUACACACUUCAUAUUGUUUGUCAGAGUAGCCCCGCUCACAGGUCGUGUGGUGGAUGGACUCGCAAACGUAGUAUCCACAGUAAUUAUUCCCGGCUUCCUGCCACAACCACUUUACAAGAAAUAGAGGUCAAUCAAACUGAUAAGCAAGCAUGCUAUAAAUGGUAUUGAUGAAACUAGCGCUUGAAUCACUAGGAGAUGCGCGGAACAUGCUAGUAGUACUUACUUUCGGGUGUCUAAAUUGCAGCUUCUUCGGCAGUUCCGGAGCUUUUGAGGUGAAUUUUGUCCAAACCCUGUCAGACAAAGAAAACAAUUACUUGAUAUCAGGAAAUGAACAAAGUUGCCGAUAUGGUGCGAUAAUGAUCGAUUUAACUUACUUCUCGAGCAUUUCAGUCAUGUCCGCAUACUCCUGGGGAUCUUUUCAUCUCGAGUCUAAGACGGUUACUAGUCCCUGCUGAAGCUUAAUCUCUAGGAGAAUAUAGUGGAACCUGCGCACGCAUGCAUAACUCAUCAAUUACAUUACUAUAACCUGGACUAAUAAGGGAAACCGAAUAUGCACACGACAGUAACACUCACUUGAAGUUGUAAGGAAAGAGUAUUAUAUCUUUGUUUUCAUUUAUUACCAACGAUCGUAGCAGGUUGGCCUCGGUCUCUCUGGCCUUAAAUUCAACCGUAUAUGCAUCUAUGAGAUUUGUGUUAAUGAACCCAAUAUCACCGAUUUGUCUUUUUUUUAAUUCGGCAAUCUUCAAUCUGCAUAAUAUAGUGAGGAUAAUUAUAAAUACAUGCAAUGAAAGAGCUGACCUAUAUAUAGAGACUUAAUGACAGAAGUAGUACUUACAGACUGUAGCAGGUGACCGUUAAUUUAUCGAGGGCCUGUUGAUUGAAAAACUGGAAGAACUCCUCAAAUGGAACAUUCAACAGAUCAAUUCCAACGAGGUCAUGCUCCUCUUUAACUCUCAGCGUCAAAAUAUUCCUCCCCCCAGACUCUCUGCAGGUUUUCAUGUACCAAUCAUGGAAUCUUCGCAUCAUCGUUGUUAGAGAUCUUUCAUCUUUGACGAGAGGCUUCCCGUACUCGUAUCUGUGUUCGUCCACCUCCAAGAAAUCAUAAUGUACAUUGUUAGGUAGGUAAUCUCCAAGAUUGGUAUAACCGGGCACCAUCCUCGGAUCAUUAGUGACGAUAUCGCUAGACACCUUGAGCGGGGGGCACGAUUGGUUCGCUUGUUCUUCGAGCUGGGCAAUUUUUUUCCCAGCUCGUCGUUCUUUUAACCUUUGAUCACUGAUAGUACUUCCCGACCGCUCUGCUUCGAUAAAUGAGCUUUCAAUAAUGCGCUCAUAGUUGCCUUUCGGCGGAGACUUUGGUGGUUUCUUCAGGGCAGCCAGACUGCGCUUCGCUUUCACCGGAUCUAUCUUCUCCUCCGAAGGUGGAUGUUUCUUUGCUUUCACCCCUUCAAAUAAGUUCGUCACUUCGGCUCGCACGAUCUUCGCGUUUUCCUCCAGUGUCCUCUUGUAUGGCAACUUCUCUGGAGUCUUCAGAGAAGGACCAAAUCUGUAUUACCUCCCGCCUCUGGCUGUACUGCUAGACGUCGGAGCAGACGGAGCAGCUGCGGCUGUCUUCUUUCCUUUCUUACCAGGCGGAGGAGAAGGACUACAACGCGCCGGAGCAGCCGAAGUGGCGGCGGGUCUCUUCCGCCCUUGCUGACGAGGCGGAGAAGGAGGAGGCUGGCUGCUCGGGCGCGCCGGCGCAGGCGGAGAAGGAGGCGGAGUGCCGCCACGCGCCGGAGAAGGAGGUUGAGUGCCCUGAUCACUCGCCGGAGGAGGAGGCGGAGUGCCCUGACUCGGCAGAGGAGGAGGAGGCGGAGGCGUGAAGUUUGGAAGGUUGAUGAGCUCCUUCCGCCAUAGGCAUGGAGUCUUCAAAGAAGGAACCAGCCGAGUCUCCCCUUCACCCAUAGGGUGGUGAAGCUCGAGGUCCUCAAAUCCGUCCGUUAUUUCAUCCACCAUCACCCUAGCAUAUGUUGGGGAACGUAGCAGAAAUUCAAAAUUUUCUACGCAUCACCAAGAUCAAUCUAUGGAGUACUCUAGCAACGAGGGGAAGGGGAGUGGAUCUACAUACCCUUGUAGAUCGCGAUGCGGAAGCGUUGCAAGAACGCGGAUGAGGGAGUCGUACUCGUAGCGAUUCAGAUCACGGUUGAUUCCGAUCUAAGCACCGAAGAACGGUGCCUCCGCGUUCAACACACGUGCAGCCCGGUGACGUCUCCCACGCCUUGAUCCAGCAAGGAGAGCGGGAGAGGUUGGGGAAGACUCCAUCCUGCAGCAGCACGAUGGCGUGGUGGUGAUGGAGGAGCGUGGCAAUCCCGCAGGGCUUCGCCAAGCACCGCGGGAGAGGAGGAGGAGGAAGAGGGGUAGGGCUGCGCCGAAAAGGAGACGUUCUCAUGUGUCUUGGGCAGCCCAAACCUCAACUAUAUAUAGGGGGGGAGGGGGCUGCGCCCCCUCUAGGGUUUCCACCCCAAGGGCUGGUGGCCAGCCCUAGAUCCCAUCAAGGGGAGGAGAGGGGGGCGCCCCACUAGAUGGGCCCUAAGCCCCAUCUGGACCUAGGGUUUGCCCCCUCCCACUCUCCCAUGCGCCUUGGGCCUUGGUGGGGGGUGCACCAGCCCACCUGGGGCUGGUACCCUCCCACACUUGGCCCACGCAGCCUUCUGGGGCUGGUGGCCCCACUUGGUGGACCCCCGGGACCCUCCUGGUGGUCCCGGUACAUUACCGAUAUCACCCGAAACUUUUCCGGUGACCAAAACAGGACUUCCCAUAUAUAAAUCUUUACCUCCGGACCAUUCCGGAACUCCUCGUGACGUCCGGGAUCUCAUCUGGGACUCCGAACAACAUUCGGUAACCAUGUACAUACUUUCCCUAUAACCCUAGCGUCAUCGAACCUUAAGUGUGUAGACCCUACGGGUUCGGGAAUCAUGCAGACAUGACCGAGACGUUCUCCGGCCAAUAACCAACAGCGGGAUCUGGAUACCCAUGUUGGCUCCCACAUGUUCCACGAUGAUCUCAUCGGAUGAACCACGAUGUCGGGGAUUAUAUCAAUCCCGUAUUCAAUUCCCUUUGUCUACCGGUAUGUUACUUGCCCGAGAUUCGAUCGUCGGUAUCCCUAUACCUUGUUCAAUCUCGUUACCAGCAAGUCUCUUUACUCGUUCCGUAACUCACAUCAUCCCGUGAUCAACUCCUUGGUCACAUUGUGCACAUUAUGAUGAUGUCCUACCGAGUGGGCCCAGAGAUACCUCUCCGUUUACACGGAGUGACAAAUCCUAGUCUCGAUUCGUGCCAACCCAACAGACACUUUCGGAGAUACCUGUAGUGCACCUUUAUAGCCACCCAGUUACGUUGUGACGUUUGGUACACCCAAAGCAUUCCUACGGUAUCCGGGAGUUGCACAAUCUCAUGAUCUAAGGAAAUGAUACUUGACAUUAGAAAAGCUCUGAGCAAACAAACUACAUGAUCUUGUGCUAGGCUUAGGAUUGGGUCUUGUCCAUCACAUCAUUCUCCUAAUGAUGUGAUCCCGUUAUCAACGACAUCCAAUGUCCAUGGUCAGGAAACCGUAACCAUCUAUUGAUCAACGAGCUAGUCAACUAGAGGCUUACUAGGGACAUGGUGUUGUCUAUGUAUCCACACAUGUAUCUGAGUUUCCUAUCAAUACAAUUCUAGCAUGGAUAAUAAACGUUUAUCAUGAACAAGGAAAUAUAAUAAUAACCAAUUUAUUAUUGCCUCUAGGGCAUAUUUCCAACAGCAUAUCCUUCUGGAAUCGGCCGGCAGUGAUAGGUUGCGCCAGGUUCAGGAGGUGCAGCAGAGCUAACAGCCGCCUUGACUUUCAAUUUCAUCCAUUGCGUCAUAAGGUGGCAAUGUUGAGACUCCGUGAUAGCAUCCACGGGGUAGCUAGCAGGAGCCGUGAAGACAGGCUCCUGCUGAAGCAGCUCGGUGGAAGCCACGCUGCUUCUCCGCUGAGAUGGCGGGGUAGCUUCGGGGGAAGCUUCGGCAGGUCAUUUGCUGCGAUUUGCUUCUCGUUCCUCUAUCGCUUGUACCCUUGCGUGCAGCGCCUGCAGUUGGGUAUGCUCCACUUUCUUCCUCCUCUCCUGGCAUUUGUAACCGCCUGCGUCCGGAAACCCAGCCUUCCACGGAACGGAGCCUGGCGUGCCUCGUGUCCGUCCAGUGUGCUCAGGAUUCCCGAGGGCCAUUGUGAGCUCGUCGUUCUCUCUGUCUGGAACAAACGUCCCUUGCUGCGCUACAUCGAUAUACUCUUGAAGCCUCGUGACGGGUAGUCUCAGUUGCUCGUUUGUCCAAACGCACUUCCCUGAUACAGGGUCCAAGGUUCCACCAACCCCGAAGAACCAAGUCCGGCAACGGUCUGGCCAGUUCAAUUUCUCUGGUUCGACCCCUUUAUCAACCAGGUCAUUCUCAGCCUUGGCCCACAACGGCCGGGCUUUGAGGUAGCCACCUGACCCUGUGCGAUGGUGAAGCUUCUUCUUCGCAGCAUUUUUCUUGUUUGUCGCUGACAUCUUCUUACUCUUGUCCGAUGUCUUGUGGGCCACAAAUGCGGGCCAGUGAUCUCUAAUCUUCUCAUACCGGCCGGUGAAUUCUGGUGUCUUUUCUUGGUCGACAAACGAUGUUUUCAGCUCAUUCUUCCACCUGCUGAAUAGUUCUGCCAUCUUCUUAAGAGCAUGAGACUUGAUCAAUUGCUCUUUAACUGGCUUCUCCGGAUCCUCCUCUGGCGGUAGGGUGAAAUUUGCCUUCAGCGCGGUCCAAAGAUCAUCUUUCUACAUAUCGUCGACAUAAGACACCUCAGGGUCUUCCUUCUUAGGCUUAAACCAUUGGUGGAUGCUGAUCGGGAUCUUGUCCCUAACAAGAACCCCGCACUGAGCAGCAAAUGCUUCCUUUGUCCAGAUGGGUUCAAUCGGCAUGCCAUCGCGCGCGAUUGCUGUGAUCUCAAACCUUUCAUCCGAGCGCAACUUUUUCUUCGGGCCUCGUCUCUUUAUCGAAGUUGUGCUCGAUCCGGAGGGCUAGAUAAAAGAAGAAAGACGAGAGUUAAUUAAUAUGUGUACAUACCAAAAUAAUGAAUGCAUCAAUUAGCUAGUCAGCACAGGCUUAACUAAUAUAUAUACCUGGCCGGACUCGGUUCGGUCACCGGAGCCGUCAUCACAGUCUCCUUCUUGCACCGGCAUUGGGUCACCGGAGCCAUCAUAAUCAUAGCCUGCUUCUUCACCCUGUCCUUCCAGACCAUCGGUGUCGUUGAGAAACGACAAGAUGGCAUCACUUCCUUUUGUGAUUAUGUCCCCCAACACCGCUUCUGUUGCUUCGUCUCAGGGGUGCUCCAUAGUUUCUUCAAAUAUUUACAACAUGGCAAUUAUUAUUCAAACAUGACAGAUGGAUAUAUUAGUGGCAAACGUAGAACUAGCUAGCUAAUCACAAUAAGGAAUCAUAUUAGUGGAUGAUACGUCUCCAACGUAUCUAUAAUUUUUUAUUGUUCCGUGCUAUUAUAUAUUCUGUUUUGGAUGUUUAAUGGGCUUAUUUAUGCACUUUUAUAUUAUUUUUGGGACUAACCUAUUAACCGGAGGCCCAGCCCAAAUUGUUGUUUUUCUUCCUAUUUCAGUGUUUCACAGAAAAAGAAUAUCAAACGGAGUCCAAACGGAAUGAAACCUUCGGGAACGUGAUUUUUUGGAACAAACGUGAUCCAGAGGACUUGGAGUGGACGUCAAGCAACAGACGAGGAAGCCACGAGGUAGGGGGGCGUGCCUACCCCCCCUGGGCGCGCCCUCCACCCUCGUGGGCCCCUCGUUGCUCCACCGAUGUACUUCUUCCUCCUAUAUAUACCCAUAUACCCUGGAAACAUCAUAUACGGAGCCAAAACCCUAUUUCCACCGCCGCAACCUUCUGUACCCGUGAGAUCCCAUCUUGGGGCCUUUUCCGGCGCUCCGCCGGAGGGGGCAUUGAUCACGGAGGGCUUCUACAUCAACACCAUGGCCUCUCCGAUGAUGUGUGAGUAGUUUACCUCAGACCUUCGGGUCCAUAGUUAUUAGCUAGAUGACUUCUUCUCUCUCUUUGGAUCUCAAUACAAAGUUCUCCUCGAUCUUCUUGGAGAUCUAUUCGAUGUAAUCUUAUUUUGCGUUGUGUUUGUCGAGAUCCGAUGAAUUGUGGGUUUAUGAUCAAGUUUAUCUAUGAACAAUAUUUGAAUCUCCUCUGAAUUCUUUUAUGUAUGAUUGGUUAUCUUUGCAAGUCUCUUUGAAUUAUCAGUUUGGUUUGGCCUACUAGAUUGAUCUUUCUUGCAAUGGGAGAAGUGCUUAGCUUUGGGUUCAAUCUUGCGGUGUCCUUUCCAAGUGACAGCAGGGGCAGCAAGGCACGUAUUGUAUUGUUGCCAUCGAGGAUAAAAAGAUGGGGUUUAUAUCAUAUUGCAUGAGUUUAUCCCUCUACAUCAUGUCAUCCUACUUAAAGCAUUACUCUGUUCUUAUGAACUUAAUACUCUAGAUGCAUGUUGGAUAGCGGUCGAUGUGUGGAGUAAUAGUAGUAGAUGCAGAAUCGUUUUGGUCUACUUGUCACGGACGUGAUGCCUAUAUACAUGGUCAUACCUAGAUAUUCUCAUAGCUAUGCUCAAUUCUAUCAAUUGCUCGACAGUAAUUCGUUUACCCACCGUAAUACUUAUGCUAUCUCGAGAGAAGCCACUAGUGAAACCUAUGGCCCCCGGGUCUAUUUUCCAUCAUAUUAAUCUCCCAACAACAAGCUAUUUCUGGCGCCAUUUAUUUUACUUUGCAUCUUUAUUUCUCUUUAUCAUAAAAAUACCAAAAAUAUUAUCUUAUCAUAUCUAUCAGAUCUCACUCUCGUAAGUGACCGUGAAGGGAUUGACAACCCCUUUAUCACGUUGGUUGCGAGGUUCUUAUUUGUUUGUGGAGGUGCGUGGGACUCGAGCGUGGUCUCCUACUAGAUUGAUACCUUGGUUCUCAAAAACUGAGGGAAAUACUUACGCUACUUUACUGCAUCACCCUUUCCUCUUCAAGGGAAAACCAACGCAGUGCUCAAGAGGUAGCAAGAAGGAUUUCUGGCGCCGUUGCCGCGGAGUCUACGCACAAGUCAAGACAUACCAAGUACCCAUCACAAACUCUUAUCCCUCGCAUUACAUUAUUUGCCAUUUGCCUCUCGUUUUCCUCUCCCCCACUUCACCCUUGCCGUUUUAUUUGCCCUCUCUUUUCCGUUCGCCUCUUUUUUGCUUUCUUCUUGUUUGCUUGUGUGUUGGAUUGCUGCUUGUCACGAUGGCUCAAGAUAAUACUAAAUUGUGUGACUUUGCCAAUACCAACAACAAUGAUUUUCUUAGCACUCCGAUUGCUCCUCUUACCGAUGCUGAAUCUUGUGAAAUUAAUGUUGCUUUGCUAAAUCUUGUCAUGAAAGAUCAAUUCGCCGGCGUUCCUAGUGAAGAUGCCGCUACCCAUCUAAAUAGCUUCAUUGAUUUGUGUGAUAUGCAAAAGAAGAAAGAUGUGGACAAUGAUAUUGUUAAAUUGAAACUGUUUCCGUUUUCGCUUAGAGAUCGUGCUAAACUUGGUUUUCGUCUUUGCCUAAAAACAGUAUUGAUUCUUGGAAUAAGUGCAAAGAUGCUUUUAUCUCUAAGUAUUUUCCUCCCGCUAAGAUCAUCUCUCUUAGAAACGAUAUUAUGAAUUUUAAGCAACUUGAUCAUGAACAUGUUGCACAAGCUUGGGAGAGAAUGAAAUUAAUGAUAGGUAAUUGCCCUACACAUGGUCUGAAUUUAUGGAUGAUUAUACAUAAUUUUUAUGCCGGAUUAAAUUUUGCUUCUAGAAAUCUUUUAGAUUCGGCCGCGGGAGGCACUUUUAUGGAAAUCACUUUAGGAGAAGCUACUAAACUCCUAAAUAAUAUUAUGGUUAAUUAUUCUCAAUGGCACACUGAAAGAUCUACUAGUGAAAAGGUGCAUGCGGUAGAAGAAAUUAAUGUUUUGAGUGGAAAGAUGGAUGAACUUAUGAAGUUGUUUGCUAAUAAGAGUGUUUCUUCCGAUCCUAAUGUUAUGCCCUUGUCUACCUUGAUUGAGAAUAAUAAUGAAUCUAUGGAUGUGAAUUUUGUUGGUAGGAAUAAUUUUGGUAACAACGCGUAUAGAGGAACCUUUAAUCCUAGGUCGUUCCCUAGUAAUUCCUCUAAUAAUUAUGGUAAUUCCUACAACAACUCUUAUGGAAAUUUUAAUAAGAUGCCCUCUGAAUUUGAGACUAGUGUUAAAGAAUUUAUGAUUUCUAAAAAGAAUUUCAAUGCUUUGCUUGAAGAAAAAUUGCUUAAAGUUGACGAAUUGGCUAGGAACGUGGAUAGAAUAGAUCUAUUCCACCUAAGCAUGAUAUCAAUGAGUCUCUCAAAGCUAUGAGAAUUUCCAUUGAUGAGUGCAAAGAAAGAACCGCUAGGAUGCGUGCUAAGAAAGAUUGCUUUGUGAAAGCGUGUUCUUCUAGUUUCUAUGAGAAUAAAGAUGAAGAUCUAAAAGUUAUUGAUGUGUCUCCUAUUAAAACUUUGUUUUGCAAUAUGAAGCUUGAUAAUGGUGGGACUGGAGAUGAGUCAACUUUAGUUAGAAGGCGUCCCAAAAAUUCGGAGUUUUUAGAUCUUGAUACAAAAAUUGGUAAAAGUGGGAUUGAAGAGGUCAAAACUUUAGAUACCAAUGAACCCACUAUCUUGGAUUUCAAGGAAUUUAAUUAUGAUAAUUGCUCUUUGAUAGAUUGUAUUUCCAUGUUGCAAUCCGUGCUAAAUUCUCCCCAUGCUUAUAGUCAAAAUAAAGCUUUUACUAAACAUAUCGUUGAUGCUUUAAUGCAAUAUUAUGAAGAAAAACUUGAGUUGGAAGUUUCUAUCCCUAGAAAACUUUAUGAUGAGUGGGAACCUACUAUUAAAAUUAUAAUUAAAGAUCAUGAAUGCUAUGCUUUGUGUGAUUUGGGUGCUAGUGUUUCCACGAUUCCAAAAACUUUGUGUGAUUUGCUAGGUUUCCGCGAAUUUGAUGAUUGCUCUUUAAACUUACACCUUGCGGAUUCCGCCAUUAAGAAACCAAUGGGAAGAAUUAAUGGUGUUCUUAUUGUUGCAAAUAGGAACUAUGUGCCCGUAGAUUUUAUUGUUCUUGAUGUAGAUUGCAAUCCUUCAUGUCCUAUUAUUCUUGGUAGACCUUUCCUUAGAACGAUUGGUGCAAUUAUUGAUAUAAAGGAAGGGAAUAUUAGAUUCCAAUUUCCGUUAAGGAAAGGCAUGGAACACUUCCCAAGAAAGAAGAUUAAAUUACCUUAUGAAUCUAUUAUGAGAGCCACUUAUGGAUUGCCUACCAAAGAUGGCAAUACCUAGAUCUAUCCUUGCUUUUACGCCUAGCUAGGGGCGUUAAACGAUAGUGCUUGUUGGGAGGCAACCCAAUUUUAUUUUAGUUUUUGCUUUUUGCUUCUGUUUAGGAAUAAAUCUUUGAUCUAGCCUCUGGUUAGAUUAUUUUUUUAUGUUUUAAUUAUUGUUUGUGCCAAGUUAAACCUAUAGGAUCUUCUUGGAUGAUAGUUAUUUGAUCUUGCUGAAAAUUCCAGAAACUUUCUGUUCACGAAAACAAUUGUUAAAAAUCACCAGAACGUGAUAAAAUACUGAUUCCAAUUGCAGUAGAUCAAUAAACAAAUUAUCUAGGCCCUCCUAUUUUGGUGGAUUUUUAUAAGUUCCAGAAGUUUGCGUUAGUUACAGAUUACUACAGACUGUUCUGUUUUUGAAAGAUUCUGUUUUUUCGUGUGUUGUUUGCUUAUUUUGAUGACUCUAUGGCUAGUAAAAUAAUUUAUAAACCAUAGAGAAGUUGGAAUACAGUAGGUUUAACACCAAUAUAAAUAAAGAAUGAGUUAAAUACAGUACCUUGAAGUGGUGUUUUGUUUUCUUUCGGUAACGGAGCUCACGAGAUUUUCUGUUAAGUUUUGUGUUGUGAAGUUUUCAAGUUUUUGGUAAAGAUUUGAUGGAUUAUGGAACAAGGAGUGGCAAGAGCCUAAGCUUGGGGAUGCCCAUGGCACCCCAAGGUAAAUCCAAGGACAACAAAAAGCCAAAGCUUAGGGAUGCCCCGGAAGGCAUCCCUCUUUCGUCUUCGUCCAUCGGUAACUUUACUUGGAGCUAUAUUUUUAUUCACCACAUGAUAAGUGUUUUGCUUGGAGCGUCUUGUAUGAUUUGAGUCUUUGCUUUUUAGUUUACCACAAUCAUCCUUUCUGUACACACCUUUUGAGAGAGACACACAUGAUUUGGAAUUUAUUAGAAUACUCUAUGUGCUUCACUUAUAUCUUUUGAGCUAUAUAGUUUUUGCUCUAGUGCUUCACUUAUAUCUUUUAGAGCACGGCGGUGGUUUUGUUUCAUAGAAAUUAUUGUUCUCUCAUGCUUCACUUAUAUUAUUUUGAGAGUCCUACAAAACAUCAUGGUAAUUUUCUUUAAUUGAUAAAUUAGUCCUAAUAUGAUAGGUAUUCAAGAUUACUAAAAACUUUAUUAUGAGUGUGUUGAAUACUAAGAGAAGUUUGAUGCUUGAUGAUUGUUUUGAGAUAUGGAGGUAGUGAUAUUAAAGUUGUGCUAGUUUAGUAGUUGUGAAUUUGAGAAAUACUUGCGUUGAAGUUUGCAAAUCCCGUAGCAUGCACGUAUGGUAAACGUUGUGUAACAAAUUUGAAACAUGAGGUGUUCUUUGAUUGUCCUCCUUAUGAGUGGCGGUCGGGGACGAGCGAUGGUCUUUUCCUACCAAUCUAUCCCCCUAGGAGCAUGCGCGUAGUGCUUGGUUUUUGAUGACUUGUAGAUUUUUGCAAUAAGUAUGUGAGUUCUUUAUGACUAAUGUUGAGUCCAUGGAUUAUACGCACUCUCACCUUUCCAUCAUUGCUAGCCUCUUCGGUACCGUGCAUUGCCCUUUCUCACCUUGAGAGUUGGUGCAAACUUCGCCGGUGCAUCCAAACCCCGUGAUACGAUACACUCUAUCACACAUAAGCCUCCUUAUAUCUUCCUCAAAACAGCCACCAUACCUACCUAUUAUGGCAUUUCCAUAGCCAUUUCGAGAUAUAUUGCCAUGCAACUUUCCACCGUUCCAUUUAUCAUGACAUGUUUCAUCAUUGUCAUAGCAUGAUCAUGUAGUUGACAUCGUAUUUGUGGCAAAGCCACCAUGCAUAUUAUUUCAUACAUGUCACUCUUGAUUCAUUGUCCUCCCGGUACACCGCCGGAGGCAAUCAUGUCAUACUUUGUUCUAGUAUCGAGUUGUCAUCAUUGAGCUGUAAAUAAAUAGAAGUGUGAUGAUCAUCAUUCAUAGAGCAUUGUCCCAAAAAAAGAGAAAGGCCAAAAGAAAAAAAGGCCCAAAAAAAGAAAAUAAAAAGGGGCAAUGCUACUAUCCUUUUUCCAUACUUGUGCUUCAAAGUAGCACCAUGAUCCUUAUGAUAGAUAGUCUCUUGUUUUGUCACUUUCAUAUACUAGUGGGAAUUUUUCGUUAUAGAACUUGGCUUGUAUAUUCCAACAAUGGGCUUCCUCAAAUGCCCUAGGUCUUCGUGAGCAAGCAAGUUGGAUGCACACCCACUUAGUUUCUUUUGUUGAGCUUUCAUACAUUUAUAGCUCUAGUGCAUCCGUUGCAUGGCAAUCCCUACUCCUCACAUUAACAUCAAUUGAUGGGCAUCUCCAUAGCCCGUUGAUUAGCCGCGUUGAUGUGAGACUUUCUCCUUUUUUGUCUUCUCCACAUAAACCCCAUCAUUAUAUUCUAUUCCACCCAUAGUGCUAUAUCCAUGGCUCACGCUCAUGUAUUGCGUGAAAGUUGAAAAAGUUUGAGAUUACUAAAGUAUGAAACAAUUGCUUGGCUUGUCAUUGGGGUUGUGCAUGAUGAGAGCAUUCUUGUGUGACGAAAAUGGAGCAUGACCAAACUAUAUGAUUUUGUAGGGAUGAACUUUCUUUGGCCAUGUUAUUUUGAGAAGACAUAAUUGCUUAGUUAGUAUGCUUGAAGUAUUAUUACUUUUAUGUCAAUAUUAAACUUUUAUCUUGAAUCUUCACGAUCUAAAUAUACAUACCAUAAUUAAGAGGGUUACAUUGAAAAUUAUGCUAAGUAGCAUUCCACAUCAAAAAUUCUGUUUUUAUCAUUUACCUACUCGAGGACGAGCAGGAAUUAAGCUUGGGGAUGCUUCAUACGUCUCCAACGUAUCUAUAAUUUUUUAUUGUUCCAUGCUAUUAUAUAUUCUGUUUUGGAUGUUUAAUGGGCUUAUUUAUGCACUUUUAUAUUAUUUUUGGGACUAACCUAUUAACCGGAGGCCCAGCCCAAAUUGCUGUUUUUUGCCUAUUUCAGUGUUUCACAGAAAAAGAAUAUCAAAUGGAGUCCAAAUGGAAUGAAACCUUCGAGAACGUGAUUUUCGGAACAAACAUGAUCCAGAGGACUUGGACUGGAUGUCAAGCAACAGACAAGGAAGCCACGAGGUAGGGGGGCGCGCCCUCCACCCUCGUGGGGCCCUUCUUGCUCCACCAGCGUACUUCUUCCUCCUAUAUAUACCCAUAUACCCUGGAAACAUCAUAUACAAAGCCAAAACCCUAUUUCCACCGCCGCAACCUUCUGUACCCGUGAGAUCCCAUCUUGGGGCCUUUUCCGGCGCUCCGCCAGAGGGGGCAUUGAUCACGGAGGGCUUCUACAUCAACACCGUAGCCUCUCCGAGUGUGAGCAGUUUACCUCAGACCUUCGGGUCCAUAGUUAUUAGCAAGAUGGCUUCUUCUCUCUUUUUGGAUCUCAAUACAAAGUUCUCCUCGAUCUUCUUGGAAAUCUAUUCGAUGUAAUCUUCUUUUGCGGUGUGUUUGUCGAGAUCCGAUGAAUUGUGGGUUUAUGAUCAAGUUUAUCUAUGAACAAUAUUUGAAUCUCCUCUGAAUUCUUUUAUGUAUGAUUGGUUAACUUUGGAAGUCUCUUUGAAUUAUCAGUUUGGUUUGGCCUACUAGAUUGAUCUUUCUUGCAAUGGGAGAAGUGCUUAGCUUUGGGUUCAAUCUUGCGGUGUCCUUUCCCAGUGGCAGCAGGGGCAGCAAGGCACGUAUUGUAUUGUUGCCAUCGAGAAUAAAAAGAUGGGGUUUAUAUCAUAUUGCAUGAGUUUAUCCCUCUACAUCAUGUCAUCUUACUUAAAGCAUUACUCUGUUCUUAUGAACUUAAUACUCUAGAUGCAUGCUGGAUAGAGGUCGAUGUGUGGAGUAAUAGUAGUAGAUGCAGAAUCGUUUCGGUCUACUUGUCACGGACGUGAUGCCUAUAUGCAUGAUCAUACCUAGAUAUUCUCAUAACUAUGCUCAAUUCUAUCAAUUGCUCGAUAGUAAUUCGUUUACCCACUGUAGUACUUAUGAUAUCUUGAGAAAAGCCACUAGUGAAACCUAUGGCCCCCGGGUCUAUUUUCCAUCAUAUUAAUCUCCCAACAACAAGCUAUUUCUGGCGCCGUUUAUUUUACUCUGCAUCUUUAUUUCUCUUUAUCAUAAAAUACCAAAAAUAUUAUCUUAUCAUAUCUAUCAGAUCUCACUCUCAUAAGUGACCGUGAAGGGAUUGACAACCCCUUUAUCGCGUUGGUUGCGAGGUUCUUAUUUGUUUGUGUAGGUGUGUGGGACUCGAGCGUGGUCUCCUACUGGAUUGAUACCUUGGUUCUCAAAAACUGAGGGAAAUACUUGCGCUACUUUACUGCAUCACCCUUUCCUCUUCAAGGGAAAACCAACGCAGUGCUCAAGAGGCAGUAGUGGCCUCGACGCUGCUUCUCUAGGGUUUGGGGUGGCCUCGACAACGCUUCAAGGGUUUGGGGUGGCCUCGAGAGUGUUUGUCGGGUAGGGGCACAGCGGGAGGGGGUAGGAGACCAACAUCGUUUUUUUCUAGGGUUUGGGUGUCCUCGAGAGUUUUGGUCGAGUGAGAGGGCCGGGGGUGCUCCCGUGGUAUAAGUUAUCACGGUCGAGAGGGGGUAUAUAUAUUGAUCGCCCCUCAUGUCGAAGUUAUCCGGGAGGGGGUUAUAUCGACAACGAUGACAUACAUAUACGGGAAAAUAAUGUUAUCGGGGAGGGGGUAUAUCGACCCCCCCCCUCGUGUUGAAGUUAUCGGGACGGGGUAUAUCGACAACGACAUACCCGAUAAAAAAUAAGAAGACGAAGAAGAAAUAAAAAGAUUAGAAGAAGAAAGGGAUAGAGGAGAAGAUCAAAGAAAAAAAGAAGAAAAAAAGAGGAGAAGAAGAAAGGAAUAGAGGAGAAGAAGAGAAAAUAGAAUAUUUUCUAUUUUCUCUUCUUCUCCUCUAUUCCUUUCUUCUUCUCCUCUUCUUUUUAUUCUUUUUUCCUCUUCUUAUUUAUUUCUCCUCUUCUUCCUCUCCUCUUCUUCUCCUUUCUUCCUCUUCUUAUUUUCCUUUUUCCUCUCAUUCUUUUUCUUCUUCUUCCUUUCCUAGCUAGAUAUAUAAAACUUUUCUAAAAAAUGUAACUUUUGCAUAUAUAAAAAAAUUUCUUCUUCUUACUUCUUCCUUCUUCCUAAAUAUAUAAAACUUUUCUAAAAAUGAAACUAACCUAAAAUGUNNNNNNNNNNNNNNNNNNNNNNNNNNNNNNNNNNNNNNNNNNNNNNNNNNNNNNNNNNNNNNNNNNNNNNNNNNNNNNNNNNNNNNNNNNNNNNNNNNNNNNNNNNNNNNNNNNNNNNNNNNNNNNNNNNNNNNNNNNNNNNNNNNNNNNNNNNNNNNNNNNNNNNNNNNNNNNNNNNNNNNNNNNNNNNNNNNNNNNNNNNNNNNNNNNNNNNNNNNNNNNNNNNNNNNNNNNNNNNNNNNNNNNNNNNNNNNNNNNNNNNNNNNNNNNNNNNNNNNNNNNNNNNNNNNNNNNNNNNNNNNNNNNNNNNNNNNNNNNNNNNNNNNNNNNNNNNNNNNNNNNNNNNNNNNNNNNNNNNNNNNNNNNNNNNNNNNNNNNNNNNNNNNNNNNNNNNNNNNNNNNNNNNNNNNNNNNNNNNNNNNNNNNNNNNNNNNNNNNNNNNNNNNNNNNNNNNNNNNNNNNNNNNNNNNNNNNNNNNNNNNNNNNNNNNNNNNNNNNNNNNNNNNNNNNNNNNNNNNNNNNNNNNNNNNNNNNNNNNNNNNNNNNNNNNNNNNNNNNNNNNNNNNNNNNNNNNNNNNNNNNNNNNNNNNNNNNNNNNNNNNNNNNNNNNNNNNNNNNNNNNNNNNNNNNNNNNNNNNNNNNNNNNNNNNNNNNNNNNNNNNNNNNNNNNNNNNNNNNNNNNNNNNNNNNNNNNNNNNNNNNNCCAGGACAGGGGCGCAGGCGACGGCGGCGAGAGCGACUGCGACGGCGGCGAGAGCGACGGCGACGGCGGGGACAGGCCGGGGCGGGAGCGGGGGCGCGGGCGACGGAGCGACGGCGGCGGAGGACAGCAUCGGGGUAGCCUGGCGGCGUCGAUGUGCUCGACGUCGUUGGGGGCAACUGGUGAUGAACUCUGCAAAAUUCCUAAGUGCUACUGAUAUACCCAGAGCUUUGGUCCCGGUUCGUGGCACCAACCGGGACCAAUGCACCCCUUUAGUCCCGGUUGGUGGCACCAACCGAGACUUAAGGUCUCUUUUCAGCAGCCCAAAGGGCGGGAAGCAGAGGCCUUUGGUCCCGGUUGGUGCUGCGAACCGGUGCCAAUGCACCACUUUAGUCUAGGUUGGUGGCACCAACCGGGACCAAAGGCCCUGUGCUGCCCGCGUCGCGGCCAAAAGUUUAGUCCCACCUCGCUAGUUGAGAGAGCUCGAGAGUGAUUUACAAGCGCUGCUGCGCCAACCCUCUCGAGCUCAUCUCAACUGCAGGCUUUCGGGCCUAAUUUGUCACGAUGUGCUUGUGGGCCUACUCUGCCUCCUGCGGGCCUGAAUCUGGGCCCAUGGUUGGGUUUCUAGUCGUAUUGAGGCCGUGGUGGCCCAGUGGGUGGCACUUUUUUUAUUUUAUUUUUUGAUUUAUUUAUUUUAUUUUAUUUCUACUUACAACAAAAAACUUACUGUUGCUAUUUUUAUUUAUUUUAUUAAAGUUUAUUUAUUUUACUUUUAUAAAAAAAUUCUACUUAUUUAUUUUAUUAAAGUUUAUUUUGUUUCUACUUAUUUAUUUUAUUAAAUUUUAAUUUAAUUUAUUUUGUUUCUACUUAUUUAUUAAAGUUUAUUUUGUUUCUUUCUGCUUUUCAUGUUUUGAACAGAAAAUACUUUGAUAAUUUCAGUGGCAUGAAUUUUAUAUAAUUUUAGUUUAAAAAAUACUAGAGGUUUAUAAAAGCUUUUUAAUUGAUUCCUUUUGCUAUUAGAGGUUUAUAAAAGCUUAUAUAAUUUUCUUUUUUCUAUUAAAGAAUAUUAUAGUUUUGUUUUAGUUGACCAUAACAGAAUAUUUUAAUUGAUUGUUUUUUGAGCUAAAUGAUGUGGCUUUUUAGUUGAUGAGGGUUUCAUACGGAAACUCGUCUGUUACAAAGAGAUUUCAUUUUUUUAAACUUAUUUGAACUCCAGACUUUUUGUGUGUUCAAAAUACACCAUUCAAAGCCACAUCAUCAAUUUUCAACCCUUUCUGACUUCAUUUGUUAUUUUUCAUGCAUUUACUAAUUUUUUUUGAGCUAUAAGACCCUGAAAUUCAAAAGCAUUUCAAAUGAACUCUGAAAGGGUUGAAAGUUGGCAUGGUAUCAUCAUUUCACCCAUAUAGCAUGUGCUAACAAGUUGAGAGGGUUACGGAAAAAACUAGAUGCACUUCGUGUACAAAAUGGACAAUCUCUUUCGAAGUAUCAGGGUUUCAUACGGAAACUCGUCUGUUACAAAGGGAUUUUAUUUUUUAAAACUUAUUUGAACUCCAGAAUUUUUGUGUGUUUAAUAUGCACCAUUCAAAGCCACAUCAUCAAUUUUCAAUCCUUUCUGACUUCAUUUGUUAUUUUUCAUGCAUUUACUGAUUUUUUUGAGCUAUAAGACCAGGAAAUUCAAAAGCAUUUCAAACGAACUCUGAAAAGGUUGAAAGUUGGCAUGGUAUCAUCAUUUCACCCACAUAGCAUGUGCUAACAAGUUGAGAGGGUUACGGCAAAAACUAGAUGCACUUCGUGUAUAAAAUGGACAAUCUCUUUCGAAGUAUCAGGGUUUCAUACGGAAACUCAUCUGUUACAAAGGGAUUUCAUUUUUUAAACUUAUUUGAACUCCAGACUUUUUGUGUGUUCAAAAUGCACCAUUCAAAGUUGGCAUGGUAUCAUCAUUUCACCCACAUAGCAUGUGCUAAAAAGUUGAGAGGGUUAGCCUCAGCCACUUCGAGAAACAUAAUUAUGUGUGUCUGUCACCGUACAUCCAUUGCCAGUUCAUCUGCGUGCAUUAUAUAUAAUUAUGUGUGUCAAAAACCAUUACAGGUUCACAUGGAUAGAUAAGUGACCAAAUCAAUAGUAGUUCAUCAUCACAUUAAAACCAAAGUACAUACAUAGUUCAAAUUGAACAACAUAUAGCUCUCCAGAGCAUCUAACUAAACCAUACAUUGAAACUAUGUAAAACCUUUCAAUGCAACAACAAAUGCGAUCAUAAUCACAACCAAGGUAACAAUUGAUCCAACAGCAUAAUGGUACCAAGCCUCGGUAUGAAUGGCAUAUUUUCUAAUCUUUCUAAUCUUCAACCGCAUUGCAUCCAUCUUGAUCUUGUGAUCAUCGACGACAUCCGCAACAUGCAACUCCUAUAUCAUCUUCUCCUCCUCAAUUUUUUUUAUUUUUUCCUUCAAGUAAUUGUUUUCUUCUUCAACUAAAUUUAACCUCUCGACAAUAGGGUCGGUUGGAAUUUCUGGUUCAACCACCUCCUAGAUAAAUAAAAUCUAUGUCACGUUGGUCGGCAUAAUUGUCAUAAACAAUAAAUGAACCAAAUAGUUAUAAAAAGAUAAUAUAUACCACAUCUGAAUCAUAGACAGGACGAGGGCCGACGGGGGCGGAUACCAAAACCAUCGCACUAUAUAAUAACAAGGAAUAAUAAAAGUAAGAAAAUUAGACAUGUAUCUAUCUGAAGUAAGAAUUUUUUUAUUUCAGAAAGAAGAUAAGAACAAGAGGCUCACCACGGUGGUGCCGGCAACGAGAUCGGCGCGGGCGAUCGACGGCGGUGAAAACGGGGAUGGGACGUGACGGACCGCUAAACCUAGACAAAUCUCGGGGAAAAUGGAGCUCGGAGGUCGAGUUUCGAGAGGAGAAAGAUUAACUAGUGUGGCUCGGACAUUUCAUCAAACACCUCAUGUGCAUAGGAGGUGAGCUAGAGCACCCAAAUGCCCUCCCCUCGCCUGCCAGAAAAAACAGAGCACUGUGGAGUGCUCGCUGUGGCGAUGGGGUAUAUAUAGAUAACUCAUUUGUCCCGGUUCGUGGUAGAAACCGGGACUAAAGCCCAGCUUUCUGUCCGGUUCGAGCCACGAACCGGGAUCAAUGGUUGUGGGCCAGGAGCGAGGACCAUUGGUCCCGGUUCGUGCCUAGAACCGGGACAAAUGGGUCCAUACGAACCGGGGCCAAUGCCCACGAGGCUCCGGCCGGCCCCCUGGGCUCACGAACCGGGAGGAAUUCCUCCAUGGGUCCCGGUUCGUGACUGAACCGGGACUAAUGGGUUGGCCAGGCCCGAACCAAAGCCCUGUUUUCUACUAGUGUCUGUAAAUUAUUUAGUUAUCUAAAAAAUCUUACAUUAGUUUACAGAGGGAGUGGCAGUUUAAAUUAAACUUGUGGUGUUGUUUACCUCUUUGUGCCUUCUGCACAGUCGAUCGAGAUAGAUCUGUGAAGAUUAUGCUUAUCUAGCGAGCUAGCUACUCCGUACUGUUUAGUUUCUUCAUACGAAAUCCGGCAGAGGAUUGAAGACCAGGUUGAUUAAGGGCAUCUGCAAUAGACGACGCUUAUAACUAGCUAAAUAAAAUUAUUUAAAUUCCUAGCAUUUGUGCAACAGUCCGUGUCUCCAACCGUAGCAGCGAUCUAAUAGCCGUGCCUGGACCGAUUCUUCCUCUCCUGAUCGGUGAAAAAUCUCCUUGUAGCGCUCAGCGCCUCGGUUGGCAUCAAAGCAAAACAAAAUCCCUGGAUCGGUCAGGAAUUGAACGCAAAUGCCAGGUAAUCCAUCCUAGCGCCGGGCACUAGCUCGUGUUGGAGGUGCCCUAACAUGACCCCUCUCACUGACUUCAGUGCGUAUAGGUGCACAAAGUUAUAUAUAUACCUAAUGCGUUUUUUAGGCAAACUUUGACCACAUGUUAGAGCAAUACGUAAUAUAUGGCAUGCAGGUAGCUUUUGGUGUACGAAUGUUGUCGUGACUUGUUGUACUUUUUUUUGUUCACCAGAAAAUUUGCAUCAUGGGUGAAAAUGCUCAUUAUUAAUGAGUCAUUAAUGAUGUUAAUUACUUUGUCAAAGCCUAAUCUGAAGGGCCCAGAUUAGUUAGAGUACUACGUGGUGCAGGUAUUCAUAAUGGUUUGUUUGACAUACUGUAUCUGCUUUGGGGAGUCUGAAUGUCCUACUUGUGGUUAAAAAAACAAGCACGCAUAAAUAUGUGUACGUUUUCUGUAUUUAUAUGACACAAUUAGAGACUUUACAAAAAGCUUCCGACUUUUGGCUUAGUUUUGCAUAUCUUUUCAGAAGUUUCUUUUAGGUUAUAUCUUUUCAGAAGUUGGCCGGUAACCAAGCGCGGGCUGGAAAAAAGACUACGUCGGUCUAGAAGAUUAUUGGCUCAAUUAACUCUCCAAAUUGUUUUAUUCUCAGUUUUGACCCCAGUAAAGUAAAGUUCAACGUCUUGCACGCAAUGAUUGCUUUUCUUUCUUCUCUCACAAGGCGACUAGAGAAAAUCUUCCUUCCCUUGAUCUUCAUGGGCAAGCCCGUGGAUUCGCCUUCCUUACGCCCGCCGCUCCAGCGGUCGGUGGUUGGGAGAGGAUUUUUGGUGCCUCGGAUCCGGCUAGUAGAUAGGUAGGGUUUUUAAUUCUCACAUGGACGGUGUUUGGACGGAUGACGACGCUUCUUCUUCCGGGCUCUGAUCCUCCUCAAGUUCAUCCAUUGGGACGGAUUAGACAGAGCUCCAGUGUAGAUUCCUGCCAGCUCCUCGAGGCGGCGAGAUUAGGGUUUUUCGUCGUGCGUACACAACGACGAUAUUUGGUGCCAGAUUCUUCAGAUCGAUUCACGAUUCAAUGGCGACGAAUGUGGCUCCAGGGCGUUGGUCCUUAGGGGCAUGUGCAGGAAGACUUCCCGGCUGUCAUCGACAAGGUCAGGCCGACUCCGGUAUGGGAAGGGCGAUAGCGGCGCGUCGACGGCUCGUUCUGGCGGCGGUUGUGGUCGUUCGGUGGUCUAUGGACCUCGAUGUAAUUUUUAUUAUGGUUGAGGUGUUUUGUUCUUUCGGUGAAUCUUUAUAGUAGAUCUGAUCCUUCUUGAAAAAAAAGUAAAGUAAAGUCCAAUAGAGCGUGGGAAUAACAUGGAACAUGGGGUAGGUACGACGGCUGGAGCACGGGUAGAAGUUUUUUUUUUAAGUAGGCCGGGUAGAAGUCUGGCAUGGCAUAGUUUAGCCGAAAUUGCUGCACGUGACACUAGUUUAGCUUGGACGUCUGUUCAAAAGAAAAAAAACUACUAGGACGCACACGUACUACAUCGAUCGAUACAGCAGACUAGUGCACGCAGCAUACUGUAGUGUAGUGGUACCAGUACUGUGUAGCCCUAGUCUCACUUAUACCAAUCUGCAACGAGUACUUGACACUGUUGGCGCCGUGUUGCGGGCUGCCGAUCGAUCGACGCCCGGCCGGCUGGUGCAGCGCGCCGGCCGGGCGCGGACAUGCCGCAGGCGCCGCCAACACAUGGCAUGCAUGCACAUGCAAGCAUGUUUGGCCAAUUUGUCAGCCGGCUGUCACGCACGGUCGUAACGUACGUCAAGUUUAGUUUAUUUUUUCUGCGGGAUGGUGAUUUGUUUUUGGUUUUUUUAGCUUAGGAUGGUGAUUAGUUAAUGGGCUUUAAUAUUGAAAAUAAUAUGACUUACAUCCAGAUCCGCAGACCAGCAAAUGUGCUUUAAGCAGGAUUGGAGCAUCUACAACCGGACCCUUCAAAGGGGAAAUGGUACUCCCACCCCUAGGGUGCUCCCGGUGCACCAAACUCGGUAGCACAUUUUAAAACGUUCGAAAAAUUCUGAAAAAAAAUCAGCACAUUGACACAACAUCAAUGUGUGUUGUUAAAAAAAUUCAAAUCAAAAUUCAAAACAUUGCUUGAGAUACAAAAAUGACAAAAUGGACAUCAAUGUGAUAAUGGGCCUAAUCUAAAUGCCAACUUAUGUUGUGUACUAUUUACCGUCAAAUUUGUCAUUUAUGUUUCUCAAGCUAUGUUUCGAAUUUUGAUUUCUUAUUUUUUUGACAACAUACUUUGAUGUUGUGUCAAUGUACUGGAUUUUUUUCAGAAAUUUUUGAACAUUUUAAAAUGUGCUACCGAGUUUUGGAGCACCGGGAGCACCCUAGGGGUGGGAUUACCAGAUAUUUCCCCCCUCCCCCGCCCUAAACAUCCGGACGGACAUCCUCAUCACUGCUCACUCAUAAUGGUCAAGAGCCUACGGAUUUUGACUUGGGUGAUACCAAUUCCUCUUAUGUCGGGCAACAUCACACACUAAAAAAAGGUGCCAAAGGAAGAGGUCCAACAUCCACAACCUUUGAGGAUGCGUUGUUGUGUGAAUCUUGGUUGGUCAUAAGCAUGGAUCUAAUUUUUGGAAAUAAGAGGGUGUCAAGUAUGUGGAGUCGCACACUGUCCAUACCACCUUCAACGAGGGCUUAAUGAGACAAAAAGGCAAAAGUCAAAGCCGAAAGCACAUAAAUAGGUGCUUUUUUGGCUUAUAAGAAACAACCACCGCAUUAGUUGUACAAUGUUUCCCUGGUUUUCAGAACCGUUCGAAAGGUCAUGGUCUUUUUUUUAUUUUUUUGUAUUAUCUUUUUCCCUGUUUUUCUUUUACCGGAUUUUUUCGGUUCCUUUUUUGUUUUUAUAUUUUUAGUCAUUUUCAAAAUGUUAGCUUUUUAAAAACAUCAGGAUUUUUUUUACUUUUGUUUGAAAUUCUAUACAAUGACCGCAUUUUCAAAAAAUAUCCAUGGCUUCAAAUAUUCUUCAGUAUUUUUAGAAUAUUAUCGUUUCCAAAAGUUGUUCAUAAAUUCUAAUAAAUGAUAAUGUUUUCAAAUUUUGUUUGAAAUUUUGAUCACUUUUUCAAAUUUUGUUUGGAAUUUCAAAAAAUGUUCCCAUUUUUAAUAUUUAUUUAUAGAAUAAAAAAUGUUUGCAUUUUUUUCAAAUUAUUCGAAAAAAAUUGUAGUUUUAAAAAGUAUUUGGAUUUUACCAAUAAUAUUCAUAUUCGAAAAAAUAAAUCAUAAAAAAAAAAGUUAAAUUAGAAAAGGACUAAAUAAUUGGUUCGUGCAGUGACUGCACACUACCGUGUGUUGGUUGCGCUAAAAUCCGUCGCUUCGCUAGGCAUGCUCGCUACUUGAAAAAAGGUGUCCAUCUAGUUUUUUAAAAAUCAUGUGAUUCUAAAAAGUGCUCAUCCAUUUAAAAAAUGUUCAUGUAGGUUUUAAAAACUGUACAUGCCUUUAAAAAAGUUCAUGUAACUAAAAAAACUCUCCUAUUUUAAAAAAUUGUGUAAGUUUGAAAGUGGUCACAACNNNNNNNNNNNNNNNNNNNNNNNNNNNNNNNNNNNNNNNNNNNNNNNNNNNNNNNNNNNNNNNNNNNNNNNNNNNNNNNNNNNNNNNNNNNNNNNNNNNNNNNNNNNNNNNNNNNNNNNNNNNNNNNNNNNNNNNNNNNNNNNNNNNNNNNNNNNNNNNNNNNNNNNNNNNNNNNNNNNNNNNNNNNNNNNNNNNNNNNNNNNNNNNNNNNNNNNNNNNNNNNNNNNNNNNNNNNNNNNNNNNNNNNNNNNNNNNNNNNNNNNNNNNNNNNNNNNNNNNNNNNNNNNNNNNNNNNNNNNNNNNNNNNNNNNNNNNNNNNNNNNNNNNNNNNNNNNNNNNNNNNNNNNNNNNNNNNNNGAAGCAGGGAUAUGAAGAAGGGAUGUCGAUUUCACAGAGAAUUACCAACGGCGAAGGAGAUGUGACCAUCAACUACUCGGAGAUUAUAUGGCGAGCCCACUCCUCCGGAUUCCCAUAGUCGCUUAUCGGAUGGCCAUCACACGACAUCAUCGCCUUGCUUCUGAUGCUGUGUGAAUGGCCACCCGCUGCCUCCCCAACUGACCCCGUAAUGGUGCUUGUCGUGCCUUAUGAAAGGCCAGCGUUCUUCCCUCUCGCUCAAUUGAAUCCCGUCUCCCGCGCCUCCCAAUCAAUCACUUCGAGUCAAUGGCACAGUGAAAGAAACUCCCCCUCCUAUUUUGGUCUAAGCAAGAGAAGAAGGAGGGACGGACGAAUUGGUCCCCUUUUGGGCCUUGUACGACAGUGCCAUGUACACAAAAAGGGAGCGACGAAAUUGGGAUGAGCACCCGCCGACACUGAUGCCCGUGCAUGGCGUGUGGGAUGAGGCUGUUGAGGCCCUUUUUCGGUUCGUCGCAAGCCACAAUGCCACCGCUCGCACAUGGUCAACGUGGGACGAGGCCCUCAAGGCGCGUUUUCGCGAGAUUGAGGAGUUCAAUUCCGCAUUCUGCGCCGUAUAUAGCUGCAAAUCUGUUGUCGUCGUCGCCAUGGUAGCCGCAAGUAAUUAGUUGUAGGCUACUUACUAGUUUUUUUUUCUGCGAGAAAACUUCCAAUCUAUUCAUCAAACAUUAAGGUAAUACAAAGAAUAUCAGAAGUACCAAAAAUUAUAUCCAAGACCACGUAGNNNNNNNNNNNNNNNNNNNNNNNNNNNNNNNNNNNNNNNNNNNNNNNNNNNNNNNNNNNNNNNNNNNNNNNNNNNNNNNNNNNNNNNNNNNNNNNNNNNNNNNNNNNNNNNNNNNNNNNNNNNNNNNNNNNNNNNNNNNNNNNNNNNNNNNNNNNNNNNNNNNNNNNNNNNNNNNNNNNNNNNNNNNNNNNNNNNNNNNNNNNNNNNNNNNNNNNNNNNNNNNNNNNNNNNNNNNNNNNNNNNNNNNNNNNNNNNNNNNNNNNNNNNNNNNNNNNNNNNNNNNNNNNNNNNNNNNNNNNNNNAAGGCCCCAUAGGACCGGCACACCAGAACAACAAUUGCCGCCGAUGGUAGCGUAGAUCGGAAGGUUUCAACAUGUAGACACAUGAACAUAGAGAAGACCGUAUCAAACCGGUUCCAUCGAAGACAAAGACCGAACGAAUCCCCUGAGAUCGGCCGGGGACACACCUCCACACGCGCAGCUAUGGCGCUAGACACACCACCGGGACGAGGGCUGGACAAGAAGAACCUUAUUCCAUCUUCGGGGGCGUUGCCGACUCACCUUCUUGAGCAAGACACAAACCCUAACAAAUCUUCAAAAACACCUAAACACGAAGCCCUCCCACCGGUAGGGGUCAGGAUCCACCGCGCCUACAUGGCCCUAAAGCCACAAGAGAUGAGGUAGAUCGGCGGCGGCAACGGGGGCAGUGGAAACCCUGUCGCAUUCGCCUUGACUCGCGGGUGAAGGGAACAAAGGGACACGUAUGGGUCAGUACAUGGCUAGUACUUAUUAGGUUAAUCAAUUAGUUAUUCUAUGAAUGUAAAUCACAGCGUGACUAAUUUCCUGACCCUAUUUAUAGAAUGAAAUUUGUGUUUUUGAAUCAAGUGUGUGCUUAUGAGUUAUGACUGGGGGAUUAUUGAGGAGAAUUUAUGACCCAUUGACAGAUGAGUCCUACUUUGAGGUAAUUUUAUGCAUGUUGAUUUUUUGAUGAUUCUGACUUUGCCAAAGUCCGUUUCAGCUAUCAUAUUUUUUAUGAUUGCCUGCAUAGCAUUUUUCGUGAUUCAAAUUAUGGCGACUUAUUAAUUGUUCUAGUGCCGCUAACUUCAGCUUUUGGCUCAGAUCGGCGGCUGGAACGUUCAGCACCAGACGACGUACGAAUCACUACUCCAGCUUCUUCUUCUUCCCAUCACACGCAUGGACAAGGCACCCGUGCGGCGUACGUGCCAGUGGAAUGCUUUUUUUUGGCGAAUGAAAAGCUUUCAUUGAUUAAGUGGGAUCAUUACAGUCUGCAUUACAAAGAAUGCCUUGCCGUAUAUCCAUUGCUUUACCGUGUUUUGUUAGUUUUUUUCUUGACGAAACCGUGUUUUGUUAGUUUGAAUGAAUACAAGGUAUGGUGUAUAGUUCUAUCGGUCCAACUUAUUUAUAUAACAUGUUAAAUGGUAAGAAAUAUUUUAGUGUUUUUUGAAGUGUUCAUGCAUUUUGAAAAAAUUAUUGUUAUUAUAAAAUAUUUUUAAAAAGUGUUUACCCAUUUUUAAAAAGUAUCAGUGAAAUUAAAAAAGGUGUUCAUCAAUUCUUUAGAAAAACGUGUAACUACAAAAGGUCUUCAAACAUUUUAAAAUAUCUUCAUGUAGGUUUAAGAAGUGUACAAGCCUUUAAAACUGUUCAUGUAACUAAAAAUGCACCUAUUUUAAAAUACUGUAUAAAUUUCGAAGUGGUCACAUAUUUUAGAGAAAAUGUUCAGCAUGUUUAUAAAAUGAUAGGGUAUUGUCCAAAAAAUGUAUAUCUUCUAAAAAGAUAAAAAACUUGGACAAGAAAACAAUAAAAGAAACAUAAACAAAAACAAAUCACACAAAAAAAACGAUGGGUGUGGCUGAGGUUGCUAGUAUGUUCGACCCGUGUGUCUUCCUCCAUAUAAGAGCAACUCUAGCAGAUGUGCUAUAUGUGGCGAUCGCCAUUAUAAUCACUAGUGUGGCAAUCAACAUAUAGAAAGGCGCUUUAACAGAUUGCCAUAUGCGUCGUGAUCGCCAUAUAUUAUGGAGCUCGCUUGGAAUAUGGAAGCUGUGGAGGCCUCCCUCGGAGCACUGUCCAAACCCAAUUGUCGUGGAAGGAGUGAAGUUUUAUAUUUUUUCCUCAUCACACCAAAGCCGGGAUUUGAAGCAGCGCUGCCGUCGACAUAGAAAAUCACCGGCGAGUGGGGAGACAUGACCGUCAAGCACCCGACAAUUAAAUGGCGCACCCGCUUGGUCAGAUUCAUGUAGCGACCCGUCGGAUGUCCACCACGCGACAUCAUCUCCUUGCUACGGAUGUUGUGUGAAUGGUCGUCGGCCGCCCGUCGCUCCCCAACUGCCCCCUUACUGGCUCUACGGCGGCCUAUAAAAGGCGGACGUCGUCCCCUCUCGCCCUAUACAAUCACCUCCCCAUUGCCUCCCAACCAUGACUUUGAGUCAAUCCCGCAGCGGAAGGAGCACCCUCUCAUCUUUCGGUCUGAGGAGGAGGAAAAGCAGGACGAGCUGGAUGAACACAACGUCGUGAACACUAGCCGGGUGAUGGAUGUGGAAAGCGAGCAACGUUUUUGGGACGAGCGCUUACCCCCGUCGCCAACGCCCGCACAUGGCCUGUGGGACGAGGGCGCAGAACCUUUUUCUGGUUCAUCACGGCCCACGGUGCCGCCGUCCGCGCAUGGCCGGCGUGGGACGAGGCCACCAAGGCCCGUUUUGCGAGAUUGCGGCGUCAUACCCCGCAUUCCACUGCCAGCAAAUCCCGCGGACUGCAUGCAAGUCGUUACAGAUAUCAAGCGAGGCUCUAGUUCCUCGUAUGCUUUUCUGCUUAGAGAGAUUAAUGAUAGGAUGAAUGAUUUUGUUAAAAUUAGUUUCUGUUUUGAGAGUAGGGAGUCGAACGUUGAGGCGCAUGCUUUGGCAAAGGCAGCGUCGUCGCUCCCGUCGGGUCGCCACAUGUGGCUAGGGAUCCUACCGGAUAUCAUUUGUAUUCCUUCUGUGUUGAACUUUGAAUAAAGUUCCUAGUUUCACCUAAAAAAAAGUAAUUAGUUGUAUGCUAUUCAUCGGUGUAAACAAUUAGUUAUUCUAUGAAUUUAAGUCACAGUGCAACUAAUUUUUCAUCCCUGUUUAUAGGAAUGAAAUGUGUGUUUCUGAAUCAAAUGUGUGCUUUUGAAUCGGCGAUUAUUGGGAAAGAAGCGAUGAGCCAAUGAUAGGUAGGUCAUUUUUUUUGCAAGGACCCAAUGACAGGUAGGUCCUACUUCAAGAGAAUUUUAUGCAUGUUGAUUUUUUGGCGAUUCUGAUUUUGCCAAAACCCGUAAUAGCCUUCUUCUUUUUUAUGAUUGUUUGCAUACCACUCUUGGUGGUUCAAAUUAUGACAACUCUAAUGCUCUAAUGCUACUAGAGUUGCCCUAAUGCAACUAGCUUCAGCUUUUGGCACAAUGGGCGGCUGGAACGUGCAGCAUGGACCGAGACGACGUAGGAAUCACUAGCCCAUCUUCUUCUUCGGAUCGCAUGCAUGGAGAAGGCACCCGUACUGUACGUACCAGUGGAAUAACAAAGAUGUGUACCGGUGUAAUGUCACGUACCAUGGAAGAUAUAGAAAGCAUCCUGGCAGGAGUAGAAAAAAGAGGAAAGAGAGAAGUGACGUUUUGAGCACGACGAUCGGGCUUUCUUGGAUUCCCUUGGAAACCAUAAUAUCAAUCAAAGCACAUGUGUGCAUGUACUUCUUGCUUUUCAAUGGUACAGAGAAGAAACAAAGAAUUUGUGCGGACGCACGUUCGCCCGUGGAAUGCUGAACCAUUUUGGACUCGAAAGUCUUGGUAGAGACAAAGUGAUCGUACGUUUACACCAACUGUGGUCGACUAGCUACAACACAUGCAUGCAUGUCUAUCACCAAAUUGAAUAUACUAUGCUCCAACCAAUGGAUGGGUCUAGCGAGCGCCCACUGGCUCGCUAGGGAUCCGAGCGGGCAAAUUUGACAAAUUUGACCUAUGUACGAAAUCAAAUCACAAAAUGAACUGUCCGUGAAACUAUUUCACGCGGCUGACCUUUUUGUGUGACGCCCGACACGAAGGCGCCACACUACACUGUGCAACGCCUCAUAAAUAGGCGCUACACGGCCAGCGUCGCACCCGUGUGAUCCAAAAAUUACUAAGUCAGUGUGCAGCGCCUCAGAGCUAGGCUAGGCGCUACACUAUACAGUGUAGCGCCUAGCUCCUAGGCGUUGCACUAGUGCAGCGCCUAGCUCCUAGGCGUUGCACUAAUGCAGCGCCUAGCUCCUAGGCGUUGCACUAGUGCAGCGCCUGAGAGCUAGGCGCCACGGGUAAGCCGCGUGAAAUAGUUUCACGGACAGUUCAUUCUGUGAUUUGAUUUCGUCUAUAGGUCAAACUAGCAAAAGGGCCCCUGCGUUGCAACGGGAGAAAAUAUCCCCAAAAAUCAGGCUCUCUUUUCUUAGUGAAAAUUCACUGGUCAAUGCUAAUAUGUGUUUCCAGGCAGGUGUAUGAUGUUCAGAUCAUAAGAUAUUUAAUAGCGUAAAACAAAAAGGUCAUUGCUAGCAAUUUUAAUUACAAAAAGUAACUUCUUUUAGGAUUUGUCUUGUGUUUUCAGGGAUUAGAAGUAUAUGAAAAUAUAGGAAUGCAUCAAUAUAUCUCAUCCGAGAUAAGAAGGACAAUUCUUGAGAAAAAUGAUUGAAAAUUUGAAAAACAAAUGUUAGUCAUGCAUGCUUGCAUAGUUACCAUGGAUGGAUGAAUGCACGAUGCAUAUUUUUUAUAUUAGUUAUCACUUAGACGUUAAUAGUUUGUAAACAUUUUGCAUAUACCAAACUCAAAGCCUAUUUGAAUAUUGUAAAUGGUAUAAUUGACUCAACCAAUAUCAUAACACCAAUAACUAUAUUAGCAUACAUAUGUAUUCACCCGCAAAAAAAAAAGCAUACAUAUGUAUUGGCUGAGCAAGUAACAAAAGAAUUUAGUCCACAUAUGUAUGUUUAUGCACAAAAAUCUGGGAAAGUUGUUGUCAUAACAGGCAUAACAAUAGGAGUUCUUUACCAACAUGGGUGUGUACUAACAUUCAGAAUGCGUGGCAAAAUGAAUAGCUACAACACUUAGGCCACGAAAUUCACUCAAACUAAAUAAAGCUACUUUUGAGAACACUAAAGUUCUUUUGAGCUCCUUAAUUGAUCUCUCCAAUAGCUUGACUUCUUCAUCCAAGAGUACAAAAGAAGGGUUCUAAAAGAAGAAAAACGGAAGCAUUAUUAAGAGCAGAAAACAUUAAUCAAAUAGCAUGAACACCUGGCUGGCGUCCGUAGCAAUUACUUCCCUUUGUUUUACCACUGGCAAAGCAUCUCCAGCUUUUCUCUCAGAGAGGCACCUGGGAGUCACAUUAUGGCUUCUCUUCUGAGAGCUUGGAGAAGUUAUUCUGCAAAUUUUGAAGCAAAUCGUUCCUUUCAUCGUCAAGUAAAUUUCUGAGCUCAAUCAACACUUCCUCCAAUAUUGGAGUGGCAUUUCUAUUAUGGGCUAACUCCUAUUUCACAGAGCAAUCAAUCCGUUCAAUAUGGAUGAGCUGAGGUCGCAAAUCAGUGUUCACUAUAGAAACUGCAUUUGGUUUGCAAACUACACUUGCUGGCUGCUCCUCCAACACCAAAAUCUUUUUUUACUCUUCAUAAUUUAAGAAUGUGCAUGAUUAAUCAAUUUAAACUCACUGGAUUGGAUGGAUGGAGUGUCUAAAUAGUAGGAUUAAACAAUUGGUCCUUUACUGACUGAUUAAUUAGUGAACUAAACAUUUUUCUGAAUCUUUGCUUUAAUGGAUGUGCAUGAUUAAUCAGUUAACACUACAGUGGGGGAGGACAUCCUGAUGGAGCGGCGCAACCUACUUGACCAGCAAGCCCCACGCCUUCAAAUUAUUUUAGGAGAUCUAACAACAUUAAAUAAGAAGCAUCAUCUCAUUAAAGUCCUCUUUAUUUAUUUUAUCGGAGGCUCGGAAGAACUUAGUCUCUUCAAAAUAAGAAGCAUCAUCCAUGGUCGAUUUCUGGACCAAAAUAACUACAUGCAUAAACGGACUCUCAUGCCAAGUUGCAAACAGAUCAGGGAAAACACCCACAAACUUGAAUAAAACGUUGUGAUUUUUCAGCAAAAAUAAUGUUAUGUGAUCGAAAUGAAACAAUUGUUGUUCAGAUAUAUCAGUUUCGAUUGAAUCUAUUAUGGCAUUGACAGAAGCAGUAGACAUCCAGCCAUAAACAUAUCACUGGCCAUAGGUUUUAUUUUUAUUUUUUGGCAUGCACUGGCUAUAGGUAGAUAACAUAAGAGCUAGGAUCCAACAGUUAGGCAGAACAAGUAAGACACCAAGUCGCAUAAUCAAAAUAUGCCCAUUUGCACACAUGUAAAUAGUUUGAACGUACUGAAACACAAAGAAAGUAAAUAGUAGAUUAUAUUGUCCUAAGUUGAUCUUGCUUGAUAGCAUUAUCUAGAGAAUAUCAAAAGGAAAAACAUAACUAACCUUGACCUGUUUGUAGCGAUCCAGAUUUUACACACUCUGGUCGUUUCAUCUGAAAUCACAUGAAAAAGUGUUGCUUUUCUUUGGCCGCUGAAAGGGAAAGUACCAAUCUCCACUUCGAUCCUCCCUCUGUAAUAUUAUAAAAAAAAGCAGUCAACAGAGCAUCGCCCUCCCACCAUGCCUGUUCUGAUAGACACACAAAAGAAUACACAAAGCAUCUUCCAUCAGUUUUUAUAACUUGCUAGAAAUACUGUUAGAAUUAAUGGGCUAGGCCCAUAGCAAUUUCUGAAAUCUCAAAGCCCAUGUGUAAAAUGGCAAGUGGUGGUGCUAAGUUUAGUCCCACCUUGGAAGUUGAAGAAGAGUUGGACCUCUUUAUAUAGUGGGUUCUCUCCACCACUCUAAGUGGUGUGUGAGAAGAGAAAGGGAAAACCACACGCGCGCUUGCUCGCCUCGCCUGGCCGGGGCGCAUGCGACAUGCGCGUGAAUGGUCCGCCGAAAUCCGGUCCGUCUCCUUGCAGGAGCGCAGCUUCCUUUUGCCGUUUUAUUUUUAUGUCUUGGCAGACAAGUUUUUGAUUUCUUGUCCGGUAAGUAUACGAAUUAGAAACCGAGUCGGUUUGGGAUUGUGGUCGCGACACAAUACCGCCUCUGGUCCUAAUAUAUAUACAGCUACCGGCUGCGGCCAGAGACACACCGAAAAACACCUAGGGUUUUGCCUCAUCUCACAACUUGCGCCGCCAUCGUAGUCUACUCCAUCCCAAACGCCGGCGUGCAUCGGCGCGUGGGAGAGCAGGUCUCCGGAACCGUUCGUCUUUGCGAUCCUGCACCGGGAGAGGACGAAUUAGGUUUUUGGGAAGCGCUGUGCGCGACUGCUCAAAUUCGUCAUCACGGGUCGUCUUCCGUCCAAGUCGGGCGGUGCUACUCAUCGUCGUAUUCAUCGCCGUCAGCAGCAGAUCGUCGCCAACAUCGUCAUCAACACUGUCGCACCCAUAAUAGCUAACGAUCAGUACGUCCAACAUCCUUUGUUCAUGUCUGUUUCUACAGCUAUUGUUACGUGUUUGCUGCUGUUAUGCAUGUCUUGCUGUUCUUCUAGUUUGCUAGAUUAUUGCAUGCUACUAUCUCUUCUAGUCAUGAAUUAUUUACUGGAAUUAAUCAUGAACUUGCCUAAUAUUCCAACAAAUACAUGCAAACAUCAUCCAACAAAUGAACGGCUUGUGCGAUUUGUUUGCAAGCAAAUAGAACGAAUUAUUGCAAACCUGAACAUAAUUCUAUUGUCUAUGCAUCUUUUCUCUCAGCUCUAAAAAAAAUCUUCUAGCAAUUUCUAAAAAGAAUUUGAAUGAAGCUACUGUACGUUUGUAGACAGCCACACAACAAAUUUAAGGUCACAGGAGCAACAAAGCAUCAGGGAUCCUCCUGCGGUACACACGGUCCUCAACGAUAGAGUUGCCUGGUUAGUGGGCUGCCCACAGAGCAUCGACCAGAGCGUGAAUAAUCAACGGAGUUUGUAAUCGUAGCCCUACACACGAAAUUCCAUGAGCAUGGAUAAACUGAUCUUGUGAUUUGGUAGAAGCAGCAAAUUAUAGUACCGGCUGAAUAAACAGCUUGUGCCAUUUAUAGAUAAACUGAAACCCUCACGUAGUCAGCCAGUACUAUAAUAUGGUAGUAGCAACAGGCAGCUCACCAUUUGGAACCCAGCCGCGAAGGUACCACCGGUCGCCGCUAUACCGGGGCUCGUCCUGGAACUCCUUCGGCGCACUUCUGGAGGAACCUCGCCAGCUUCUCCGGCAGCGUCACCGGUGGCAGCUCCCCUCUAGUCGCCGGAUCCCUUUGUAAAACGGACUCGGUUCGAUCAGAGAGGAGGAAGCUAGGGACGUGGUGCAGCGCGUGAACGAAAUAUGCCCUAGAGGCAAUAAUAAAGUAUUAUAUAUUUUUUUAUAUCAUGAUAAAUGUUUAUUAUUCAUGCUAGAAUUGUAUUAACCGGAAACAUAGUACAUGUGUGAAUACAUAGACAAACAGAGUGUCACUAGUAUGCCUCUACUUGACUAGCUCGUUAAUCAAAGAUGGUUAUGUUUCCUAGCCAUAAACAUGAGUUGUCAUUUGAUUAACGGGAUCACCUCAUUAGGAGAAUGACGUGAUUGACUUGACCCAUUCCGUUAGCUUAGCACCCGAUCGUUUAGUAUGUUGCUAUUGCUUUCUUCAUGACUUAUACAUGUUCCUAUGACUAUGAGAUUAUGCAACUCUCGUUUACCGGAGGAACACUUUGUGUGCACCAAACGUCACAACGUAAAUGGGUGAUUAUAAAGGUGCUCUAUAGGUGUCUCCAAAGGUACUUGUUGGGUUGGCGUAUUUCGAGAUUAGGAUUUGUCACUCCAAUUGUCGGAGAGGUAUCUCUGGGCCCACUCGGUAAUUCACAUCACUAUAAGCCUUGCAAGCAUUGUGACUAAUGAGUUAGUUGCGGGAUGAUGUAUUACAGAACGAGUAAAGAGAUUUGCCGGUAACGAGAUUGAACUAGGUAUCGAGAUACCGACGAUCAAAUCUCGGGCAAGUAACAUACCGGUGACAAAGGGAACAACAUAUGUUGUUAUGCGGUCUGACCGAUAAAGAUCUUCGUAGAAUAUGUGGGAGCCAAUAUGGGCAUCCAGGUCCCGCUAUUGGUUAUUGAUCGGAGACGUGUCUCGGUCAUGUCUACAUAGUUCUCGAACCCGUAGGGUCCGCACGCUUAACGUUACGAUGACAGUUUUAUUGAGUUUUGAUGUACCGAAGGAGUUCGGAGUCCCGGAUGAGAUCGGGGAUAUGACGAGGAGUCUCGAAAUGGUCGAGACAUAAAGAUCGAUAUAUUGGACGACUAUAUUCGGACUUCGAAAAGGUUCCGAGUGAUUCGGGUAUUUUUCGGAGUACCGGAGAGUUACGGGAAUUCGUGUUGGGCCUUAAUGGGCCAUACGGGAAAGGAGAGAAAGGCCUCAAAAGGUGGCCGCACCCCUCCCCAUGGUCUGGUCCGAAUUGGACUAGGGAGGGGGGCGCACCCUUCCUUCUUUCUCCUUCCCCCUUCCCUUCUCCUACUCCCACAAGGAAAGGAGGAGUCCUACUCCCGGUGGGAGUAGGACUCCCCCCUAUGGCGCGCCUCUCCCCUUGGCCGGCUGCCUCCCCCUUGCUCCUUUAUAUACGGGGGCAGGGGGGCACCCCAGAGACACAACAAUUGAUCCUUGAGAUCUCUUAGCCGUGUGCGGUGCCCCCUCCACCAUAUUACACCUCGAUAAUACCGUUGCGGAGCUUAGGCGAAGCCCUGCGUCGGUGGAACAUCAUCAUCGUCACCACGCCGUCGUGCUGACGAAACUCUCCCUCAACACUGCGCUGGAUCGGAGUUCGAGGGACGUCAUCGAGCUGAACGUGUGUAGAACUCGGAGGUGCCGUACGUUCGGUACUUGAUCGGUCGGAUCAUGAAGACGUACGACUACAUCAACCGCGUUGUGAUAACGCUUCCGCUGUCGGUCUACGAGGGUACGUGGACAACACUCUCCCCUCUCGUUGCUCUGCAUCACCAUGAUCUUGCGUGUGCGUAGGAAUUUUUUUGAAAUAACUACGUUCCUCAAUAGUGGCAUCCAAGCCUGGUUUUAUGUGUUGAUGCUAUGCAUGAGUAGAACACAAGUGAGUUGUGGGCGAUAUAAGUCAUACUGCUUACCAGCAUGUCAUACUUUGGUUCAGCGGUAUUGUGAGAUGAAGCGGCCCGGACCGACAUUACGCGUACGCUUACGCGAGACUGGUUUCACCGUUGCGAGCACUCGUUGCUUAAAGGUGACCGGCGGGUGUCUGUCUCUCUCACUUUAGUUGAACCGAGUGUGGCUACGCCCGGUCCUUGCGAAUGUUAAAACAGCACCAACUUGACAAACUAUCGUUGUGGUUUUGAUGCGUAGGUAAGAACGGUUCUUGCUAAGCCCGUAGCAGCCACGUAAAAUAUGCAACAACAAAGUAGAGGACGUCUAACUUGUUUUUGCAGGGCAUGUUGUGAUGUGAUAUGGUCAAGACAUGAUGUGAUAUAAUGUGUUGUAUGAGAUGAUCAUGUUUUGUAACCGAGUUAUCGGCAACUGGCAGGAGCCAUAUGGUUGUCGCUUUAUUGUAUGAGAUGCAAUCGCCAUGUAAUAGUUUUACUUUAUCACUAAGCGGUAGCGAUAGUCCUAAAAGCAAUAAGUUGGCGAGACGACAACGAUGCUACGAUGGAGAUCAAGGUGUCGCGCCGGUGACGAUGGUGAUCAUAACGGUGCUUCGGAGAUGGAGAUCACAAGCACGGUGCUUCGGAGAUGGAGAUCACAAGCACGGUGCUUCGGAGAUGGAGAUCACAAGCACAAGAUGAUGAUGGCCAUAUCAUAUCACUUAUAUUGAUUGCAUGUGAUGUUAAUCUUUUAUGCAUCUUAUCUUGCUUUGAUUGACGGUAGCAUUAUAAGAUGAUCUCUCACUAAAAUUUCAAGAUAAAAGUGUUCUCCCUGAGUAUGCACCGUUGCAAAAGUUCUUCGUGCUGAGACACCACGUGAUGAUCGGGUGUGAUAGGCUCUACGUUCAAAUACAACGGGUGCAAAACAGUUGCACACGCGGAAUACUCAGGUUAAACUUGACAAGCCUAGCAUAUGCAGAUAUGGCCUCGGAACACGGAGACCGAAAGGUCGAGCGUGAAUCAUAUUGUAGAUAUGAUCAACAUAGUGAUGUUCACCAUUGAAACUAUUCCAUCUCACGUGAUGAUCGGACAUGGUUUAGUUGAUAUGGAUCACGUGAUCACUUAGAGGAUUAGAGGGAUGUCUAUCUAAGUGGGAGUUCUUAAGUAAUAUGAUUAAUUGAACUUAAAUUUAUCAUGAACUUAGUCCUGAUAGUAUUUUGCAAAUUAUGUUGUAGAUCAAUAGCUCGCGUUGUUGCUUCCCUGUGUUUAUUUUUGAUAUGUUCCUAGAGAAAAAUUAUGUUGAAAGAUGUUAGUAGCAAAGAUGCGGAUUGGAUCCGUGAUCUGAGGAUUAUGCUCAUUGCUGCACAGAAAAAUUAUGUCCUUGAUGCACCGCUAGGUGACAGACCUAUUGCAGGAGCAGAUGCAGACGUUAUGAACGUUUGGCUAGCUCAAUAUGAUGACUACUUGAUAGUUUAGUGCACCAUGCUUAACGGCUUAGAAUCGGGACUUCAAAGACGUUUUGAACGUCAUGGACCAUAUAAGAUGUUCCAGGAGUUGAAGUUAAUAUUUCAAGAAAAUACCCGAGUUGAGAGAUAUGAAGUCUCCAACAAGUUCUAUAGCUAAAAGAUGGAGGAGAAUCGCUCAACUAGUGAGCAUGUGCUCAGAUUGUCUGGGUACUACAAUCGCUUGAAUCAAGUGGGAGUUAAUCUUCCAGAUAAAAUAGUGAUUGACAGAAUUCUCUAGUCACCAUCACCAAGUUAGUAGAACUUCGUGAUGAACAACAGUAUGCAAGGGAUGACGAAAGUAAUUCCCGAGCUCUUCGUGAUGCUGAAAUCGACGAAGGUAGAAAUCAAGAAAAACAUCAAGUGUUGAUGGUUGACGAGACCACUAGUUUCAAGAAAAGGGCAAAGGGAAGAAGGGGAACUUCAAAAAGAACGGCAAGCAAGUUGCUACUCAAGUGAAGAAGCCCAAGUCUGUACCUAAGCCUGAGACUAAGUGCUUCUACUGCAAAAGGGACUGGUCACUGGAAGCGGAACUACCCCAACUAUUUGGUGGAUAAGAAGGAUGGCAAAGUGAACAAAGGUAUAUUGGAUAUACAUGUUAUUGAUGUGUACUUUACUAGUGUUUAUAGCAACCCCUCGGUAUUUGAUACUGGUUCAGUUGCUAAAGUAGUAACUCGAAUCGGGAGUUGCAGAAUAAACAGAGACUACUAAAAGGCGAGGUGACGAUGUGUGUUGGAAGUAGUUCCAAGAUUGAUAUGAUCAUCAUCGCACACUCCCUAUACUUUCGGGAUUAAUGUUGAAACUAAAUAAGUGUUAUUUGGUGUUUGCGUUGAGCAUGAAUAUGAUUUGAUCAUGUUAUUGCAAUACGGUUAUUCAUUUAAGUUAGAGAACAAUUGUUGUUCUGUUUACAUGAAUAAAAACCUUCUAUGGUCAUACACACCAACGAAAAUGGUUUGUUGGAUCUCUAUCGUAGUGAUACACAUAUUCAUAAUAUUGAAGCCAAAAGAUGCAAAGUUAAUAAUGAUAGUGCAACUUAUUUGUGGCACUGCCGUUUAGGUCAUAUUGGUGUAAAGCGCAUGAAGAAACUCCAUACUGAUGGGAUUUUGGAAUCACUUGAUUAUGAAUCACUUGAUGCUUGCGAACCGUGCCUCAUGGGCAAGAUGACUAAAACGCCGUUCUCCGGAACUAUGGAGAGAGCAAUAGAUUUGUUGGAAAUCAUACAUACAGAUGUAUGUGGUCCGAUGAAUAUUGAGGCUGAUAGCAGGUAUCAUUAUUUUUUGACCUUCAUAGAUGAUUUGAGCAUAUAUGGGUAUAUCUGCUUAAUGAAAUAGAAGUCUGAAACAUUUGAAAAGUUCAUAUAAUUUCAGAGUGAAGCGAAAAAUCAUCGUAACAAGAAAAUAAAGUUUCUACGAUCUAAUCGUGGAGAAGAGUAUUUGAGUUACGAGUUUGGCCUUCAGUUAAAACAAUGUGAAAUAGUUUCACUACUCACGCCACCUGGAACACCACGGUGUAAUGGUGUGUCCGAACAUCGUAACCGUACUUUAUUAGAUAUGGUGCGAUAUAUGAUGUCUCUUACCGAUCUACCACUAUCGUUUUGGGGUUAUGCAUUAGAGACAGCUGCAUUCACGUUAAAUAGGGCACCAUCAAAAUCCGUUAAGACGACGCCUUAUGAACUGUGGUUUAGCAAGAAACCAAAGUUGUCGUUUCUUAAAAGUUUGGGGUUGCGAUGCUUAUGUGAAAAGGUUUCAUCCUGAUAAGCUCAAACCCAAAUCGGAGAAAUGUGUCUUCAUAGGAUACCCAAAGGAGACAGUUGGGUACACCUUCUAUCACAGAUCCGAAGGCAAGACAUUCGUUGCUAAGAAUGGAUCCUUUCCAGAGAAGGAGUUUCUCUCGAAAGAAGUGAGUGGGAGGAAAGUAGAACUUGAUGAGGUAACUGUAACUGCUCCCUUAUUGGAAAGUAGUUCAUCACAGAAAUCUGUUCCUGUGACUCCUACACCAAUUAGUGAGGAAGUUAAUGAUGAUGAUGUAACUUCAGAUCAAGUUACUACCAAACCUCGUAGGUAAACCAGAGUAAGAUCCGCACCAGAGUGGUACGGUAAUCCUGUUCUGGAGGUUAUGUUACUAGACCAUGACGAACCUACGAACUAUGAAGAAGCGAUGGUGAGCCCAGAUUCCGCAAAAUGGCUUGAGGCCAUGAAAUCUGAGAUGGGAUCCAUGUAUGAGAACAAAGUAUGGACUUUGGUUGACUUGCCCAAUGAUCGGCAAGCCAUUGAGAAUAAAUGGAUCUUCAAGAGGAAGACGGACGCUGAUAGCAGUGUUACUAUCUACAAAGCUAGAAUUGUCGCAAAAAGGUUUUCGACAAGUUCAAAGUGUUGACUACGAUGAGAGCAUCUCACUCGUAUCUAUGCUUAAGUCUGUCUGAAUCAUGUUAGCAAUUGCCGCAUUUUAUGAAAUAUGGCAAAUGGAUAAACAAAACUGCAUUCCUUAAUGCAUUUAUUAAAGAAGAGUUGUAUAUGAUGCACCCAGGAGGUUUUGUCAAUCCUAAAGGUGCUAACAAAAUAUGCAAGCUCCAGCGAUCCAUCUAUGGACUGGUGCAAGCAUCUCGGAGUUGGAAUAUACACUUUGAUAAGUUGAUCAAAGGAUAUAGUUUUAUACAGACUUGCGGUUACAGCAUUUCUGAUAAGUAUAUGUGAAUGACAUAUUGUUGAUCGGAAAUAAUGUAGAAUUAUUCUGUAAAGCAUAAAGGAGUGUUUUGAAAUGAGUUUUUCAAGGAAAGACCUCAGUGAAGCUGCUUACAUAUUGAGCAUCAAGAUCUAUAGAGAUAGAUGAAGACGCUUGAUAAGUUUUUCAAUGAGUACAUACCUUAACAAGAUUUUGAAAUAGUUCAAAAUAGAACAGUCAAAGAAAGAGUUCUUGCCUGUGUUACAAGGUGUGAAAUUGAGUAAAGACUCAAAGCCCGACCACGGCAAAAGAUAGAAAGAGAAUGAAAGUCAUUCCCUAUGCCUUGGCCAUAGGUUCUAUAAAGUAUGCCAUGCUGUGUACCAGAUCUAUUGUAUACCCUACACUGAUUUUGGCAAGGGAGUACAAUAGUGAUCUAGGAGUAGAUCACUGGACAGCGGUCAAAAUUAUCCUUAGUGGAAUAAGGAUAUGUUUCUCGAUUAUGGAAGUGACAAAAGGUUCAUCGUAAAGGGUUACGUCGAUGCAAGUUUUGACACUAAUCUAGAUGACUCUAAGUCUCGAUCUAGAUACAUAUUGAAAGUGGGAGAAAUUAGCUAAGAGUAGCUCCGUGCAGAGCGUUGUAAACUUAGAAAUUUGCAAAAUACUUACGGAUCUGAAUGUGACAGACCCGUUGACUAAAAUUAUCUCACAAUCAAAACAUGAUCACACCUUAGUACUCUUUAGGUGUUAAUCACAUAGCGAUGUGAACUAGAUUAUUGACUCUAGUAAACCCUUUGAGUGUUGGUCACAUAGAGAUGUGAACUAUGGGUGUUAAUCACAUGGUGAUGUGAAUUAUUGAUGUUAAAUCACAUGGUGAUGUGAACUAGAUUAUUGACUCUAGUGCAAGUGGGAGACUGAAGGAAAUAUGCCCUAGAGGCAAUAAUAAAGUAUUAUAUAUUUCCUUAUAUCAUGAUAAAUGUUUAUUAUUCAUGCUAGAAUUGUAUUAACCGGAAACAUAAUACAUGUGUGAAUACAUAGACAAACAGAGUGUCACUAGUAUGCCUCUACUUGACUAACUCGUUAAUCAAAGAUGGUUAUGUUUCCUAACCAUAAACAUGAGUUGUCAUUUGAUUAACGGGAUCACCUCAUUAGGAGAAUGACGUGAUUGACUUGACCCAUUCCGUUAGCUUAGCACCCGAUCGUUUAGUAUGUUGCUAUUGCUUUCUUCAUGACUUAUACAUGUUCCUAUGACUAUGAGAUUAUGCAACUCUCGUUUACCGGAGGAACACUUUGUGUGCUACCAAACGUCACAACGUAAAUGGGUGAUUAUAAAGGUGCUCUACAGGUGUCUCCAAAGGUACUUGUUGGGUUGGCGUAUUUCGAGAUUAGGAUUUGUCACUCCAAUUGUCAGAGAGGUAUCUCUGGGCCCAUUUGGUAAUGCACAUCACUAUAAGCCUUGCAAGCAUUGUGACUAAUGAGUUAGUUGCGGGAUGAUGUAUUACGGAACGAGUAAAGAGAUUUGCCGGUAACGAGAUUGAACUAGAUAUCAAGAUACCGACGAUCAAAUCUCGGGCAAGUAACAUACCGGUGACAAAGGGAACAACGAAUGUUGUUAUGCGGUCUGACCGAUAAAGAUCUUCGUAGAAUAUGUGGGAGCCAAUAUGGGCAUCCAGGUCCCGCUAUUGGUUAUUGAUCGGAGACGUGUCUCGGUCAUGUCUACAUAGUUCUCGAACCCGUAGGGUCCGCACGCUUAACGUUACGAUGACAGUUUUAUUGAGUUUUGAUGUACCGAAGGAGUUCGGAGUCCCGGAUGAGAUCGGGGAUAUGACGAGGAGUCUCGAAAUGGUCGAGGCGUAAAGAUCGAUAUAUUGGACGACUAUAUUCGGACUUCGGAAAGGUUCCGAGUGAUUCGGGUAUUUUUCGGAGUACCGGAGAGUUACGGGAAUUCGUAUUGGGCCUUAAUGGGCCAUACGGGAAAGGAGAGAAAGGCCUCAAAAGGUGGCCGCACCCCUCCCCAUGGUCUGGUCCGAAUUGGACUAGGGAAGGGGGGCGCACCCUUCCUUCUUUCUCCUUCCCCCUUCCCUUCUCCUACUCCCACAAGGAAAGGAGGAGGGAGUAGGACUCCCCCCUAUGGCGCGCCUCUCCCCUUGGCCGGCUGCCUCCCCCUUGCUCCUUUAUAUACGGGGGUAGGGGGCACCCCAGAGACACAACAAUUGAUCCUUGAGAUCUCUUAGCCGUGUGCGGUGCCCCCCUCCACCAUAUUACACCUCGAUAAUACCGUUGCGGAGCUUAGGCGAAGCCCGGCGUCGGUGGAACAUCAUCAUCGUCACCACGCCGUCGUGCUGACGAAACUCUCCCUCAACACUGGGCUGGAUCGGAGUUCGAGGGACGUCAUCGAGCUGAACGUGUGUAGAACUCGGAGGUGCCGUACGUUCGGUACUUGAUCGGUCGGAUCGUGAAGACGUACAACUACAUCAACCGCGUUGUGAUAACGCUUCCGCUGUCGGUCUACGAGGGUACGUGGACAACACUCUCCCCUCUCGUUGCUAUGCAUCACCAUGAUCUUGCGUGUGCGUAGGAAAUUUUUUGAAAUUACUACGUUCCCCAGCAGUGCGGGUAGCAGCGAAUUAGCGCCGCCUCUUCCAUCCUCAGCCGCCAGCUCGCCGACCGCCCUCUCCAUCCCCGGCCUCGAUCUUGCCAGCACCCGCCCACUCCAUCCCCGUCCACGAUUGUGACGCCCCCGAUUUGACCGUACACUAAUCAUGCACGCAAAUGUGUACGAUCAAGAUCAGGGACUCACGGGAAGAUAUCACAACACAACUCUACAACAUAAAUAAGUCAUACAAGCAUCAUAAUACAAGCCAAGGGCCUCGAGGGCUCGAAUACAAGUGCUCGAUCAUAGACGAGUCAGCGGAAGCAACAAUAUCUGAGUACAGACAUAAGUUAAACAAGUUUGCCUUAAGAAGGCUAGCACAAAAGUAGCAACGAUCGAAAAGGCAAGGCCUCCUGCCUGGGACCUCCUAACUACUCCUCGAAGCCGAACUCCAUGUAGAAUCAUCCUCGGGAUCUCUAGCUCCUGGACUCCAGCAUCUGGUUGCGACAACCAGGUAUAGAAAGGGGAAAAGAGGGAGAAAAGCAACCGUGAGUACUCAUCCAAAGUACUCGCAAGCAAGGAGCUACACUACAUAUGCAUGGGUAUAUGUGUAAAGGACCAUAUCGGUGGACUGAACUGCAGAAUGCCAGAAUAAGAGGGGGAUAGCUAAUCCUGUCGAAGACUACGCUUCUGGCCACCUCCAUCUUGCAGCAUGUAGGAGAGAGUAGAUUGUAAGUUCACCAAGUAGCAUCGCAUAGCAUAAUCCUACCCGGCGAUCCCCUCCUCGUCGCCCUGUUAGAGAGCGAUCACCGGGUUGUAUCUGGCACUUGGAAGGGUGUAUUUUAUUCAGUAUCCGGUUCUAGUUGUCAUAAGGUCAAGGUACAACUCCGGGUCGUCCUUUUACCGAGGGACACGGCUAUUCGAAUAGAUAAACUUCCCUGCAGGGGUGCACCACAUAACCCAACACGCUCGAUCCCAUUUGGCCGGACACACUUUUCUGGGUCAUGCCCGGCCGCGGAAGAUCAACACGUCGCAGCCCCACCUAGGCUCAACAGAGUGGUCAACACGCCAGUCUAAAUCCUAUGCGCGCAGGGGUCUGGGCCCAUCGCCCAUUGCACACCUGCAUGUUGCGUGCGCGGCCGGAAGCAGACCUAGCCUAGUAGGCGUUCCAGUCCAAUCCGGCGCGCGUCGCUCCGUCGCUGACGUCAAGAAUAGCUUCGGCUGAUACCACGACGUCGGGAUACCCAUAACUACUCCCGAGUAGAUGGUUAGUGCGUAUAGACCAAAUGGCCAGACUCAGAUCAAAUACCCAGAACUCGUUAAGCGUGUUAUUUAUCCGCGAACGCCGACCAGGGCCAGGUCCACCUCUCUCCUAGGUGGUCUCAACCUGCCCUGUCGCUCCGCCAUAAAGUAACAGUCGGGGGCCGUCAGGAACCCAGGCCCACCUCUACCGGGAUGAAGCCACCUGUCCUUUCAGCCCCCUUAUCAGAAUCACUUGCGGGUACUCCUCGAGCCGACCCGACUUUAGUCACCACAUGUGUCAUGUAUAUAAUGUAUAUAGUGUAUACCCAUGAUCACCUCCCGAAGUGAUCACGGCCCAAUAGUAUAGCAUGGCAGACGGAGAAGAGUGUAGGGCCACUGAUGGAACACUAGCAUCCUAUACUAAGCAGUAGGAUAGCAGGUAAGGGUAACAACUGUAGCAACAAUGACAGGCUAUGCAUCAGGAUAGGAUUAACGGAAAGCAGUAACAUGCUACACUACUCUAAUGCAAGCAGUAUAGAGAAGACUAGGCGAUAUCUGGUGAUCAACGGGGGGGCUUGCCUGGUUGCUCUGGCAAGUAGGAGGGGUCGUCAACUCCGUAGUCGAACUGGGCAGCAGCAGUGUCGGUCUCGUAGUCUACCGGAGAGAAGAGGGGGGAAGAAACAGUAAAUACAAUGCAAACAUAAGCAUGACGAUGCAUGACAUGACAAUGAACAGUGCCAGGUGUGUCCUAACGCGACAGUAGGUGGUAUCGGCGAAGGGGGCGAACAUCCGGGAAAGUAUUCCUGAUGUUUUGCGUUUUCGGACAGAUGGACCGGAGGGGGAAAGUUGCGAGUUCGAUAGGUUUGGGAGGUGUGGUGGACGAACGGACUGCGUAUCCGGAUUCGUCUCGUCGUUCUGAGCAACUUUCAUAUACAAAGUUUUUCCAUUCGAGCUACGGAUUAUUUUAUAUUAAUUUUUAAAGAUUUAAAUCAUUUUAGGAUUUAUUUAAUUAAUUUAUUCAACAUUAUCCAGAACAGUAAAAUAUGACGUCAGCAUGAUGUCAUGCUGACGUCAGCAGUCAACAGGGGUUGACUGGGUCAAACUGACGCGUGGGUCCAGUGGGACCCACCUGUCAUACUCUGCUAGGUUAACUAGGGUUUAGGUUAAACUAAUUACUAUUUAUUUAAACUAACAGGUUAAUUAGAUUAAUUAAAUAUGAUUAAUUAACUUAAUUAAUUAAUUAAUUAAUAAAAUUAUUAUUAUUUUUAUUAUUAAUAUUAUUAUUAUUAUUUUUUCAAAAAAAAACGUUCUGGGCGGGCCCCAUGUGCCAUAGGCACAAGGGCCAUAGCGGAUUCGGGCAGCGGUUAACGGGGCGGGCGCUGGUUACGGGCGCUCGUGCCCGAGGCCACCAGGGGCGGGGAGCAAGCCAGGAGGGCGCGCGCCGGUGGCCACGGCGCGGCUGGAGCCGGGGGGAACCGGUGGCCGGAGGCAGCGCAGAGGGGCGAAGGGAGCAGGGGGCGUGGGCGAGGCAGACGUCAGGGCGGCCGUGAUGGCCAACGGUGCGGCGACGUCGGUGGCGCAGGGGACGAAGUGCGGGGCCGGCGACGAGUAGGCCCGCAGGCGACAGAGGAGCAACCGCAGGGGUGGACGCGGUCAGGGGCGGCGAUGCGCGCCGCGGGCGGGCGUGGAGGCCAGGGAGCGCCAGGCGGGNNNNNNNNNNNNNNNNNNNNNNNNNNNNNNNNNNNNNNNNNNNNNNNNNNNNNNNNNNNNNNNNNNNNNNNNNNNNNNNNNNNNNNNNNNNNNNNNNNNNNNNNNNNNNNNNNNNNNNNNNNNNNNNNNNNNNNNNNNNNNNNNNNNNNNNNNNNNNNNNNNNNNNNNNNNNNNNNNNNNNNNNNNNNNNNNNNNNNNNNNNNNNNNNNNNNNNNNNNNNNNNNNNNNNNNNNNNNNNNNNNNNNNNNNNNNNNNNNNNNNNNNNNNNNNNNNNNNNNNNNNNNNNNNNNNNNNNNNNNNNNNNNNNNNNNNNNNNNNNNNNNNNNNNNNNNNNNNNNNNNNNNNNNNNNNNNNNNNNNNNNNNNNNNNNNNNNNNNNNNNNNNNNNNNNNNNNNNNNNNNNNNNNNNNNNNNNNNNNNNNNNNNNNNNNNNNNNNNNNNNNNNNNNNNNNNNNNNNCGUCGAGGCGAUGGGGGCGUCCGGCGACGGGGGCGAGGCGGCGGCGUCGCGGUCGUUGCCCCGAUCCAAAUGGGAUUGGGGAGUGGGGGAGCGAGGGAGUGGGGAGGUGGGGGUUAGGGUUUUCUGUCGGGGUGGGGAUAAGGGGAGUGGGGUGGCCGGUUGGUCCUGGUGGGCCGGUCGGGUGGCCGUGCGGCCUGGAGGCCUGCUGGGCCGGUUGGUCCAGCGUGGUGGGGGGGUUUGUUUCCUUUUUCUUUUUUUAUUUAUCUUUUCUCUUUUUUUGUUCUAUUUAAUUUUGUUUUAUAAAUUAUAAAUAUUGCACUAUAAUUAGUGGUUUAAAAUAUGUCACUACCACAAAAGUUUGGCAACUUUAAUUAAAUUAGUUAGAAUAAUUUUCUAUUGAAAAGGUAUUUAAAUAAUAGUUUAAGCCUCUGAUUUAAUUGCUUUAGUGUAUUCAAAUUCUUUAUAAAAAAAUGAUUUCUCCAACAAUAUUACUCAUGAAUUAUUUGUGAUAGUUUGUACUUUUUAGUUUUGAUUUUUGAAAACUUUAAAUUUUGACUUUGAUUUAAAUUUGAAUAUGAACCGGCUUUGACUCGAGUGAGAUUAGCAACAGUAAUGAUGGUGACCUGGCAUCAUUAGCAGGGGAUUACUGUAGCUUAAUUAUCCGGGCGUCACAACGAUCCCGCCGGCGCCACCCUCCAAUCCCCUGACUCGAGCCCGCUCGUCUCGAGCGCAACACGCCACGCCAUGCCUCCCGCGAGGUCGCCGACGCGCAGAUCGGCCCUCUCGAGCUCCUGGAGUCGGACGCCAGCGCCGCACCCUCCCAUCCUCUGCCUCCCACGAGGUCGCAACCAGUAGGUGGAGGGGAGCGGUGAACGGCGAAGAAAGCCGCGAGAUGGGAUUGGGAGGCAGGAGAAGGCCGGCGGCGCGUGGUGAGGGGCGGAGCGGGGCAGGAGGCGGCCGGCGGCGCGAGGGGCGUAGCAGGAGGUGGGCGGGGCGGGGCGGAGCGGAGCGCCGCGAGGUAAAGCGCCGCGAGGACGGGGAGUCUGGAUAAGAUGAAACAGAUGAAUCGCGGGUUGAAUACAUACAGAUGUAGGUUUUUUUCUAAAACGAAACGUUUUUUUCAAUAUCACGGGCACCCGAAUUAGUACCACCUCGGGUAUAUGUUUUAAAUUCGAACUGAAAUCGUAAAUUCACGGGAGGAAGCGUAUUGUGACGGUGAACCCGACAAAGUCAAUCUGUGCUUUAUUAUUACUAGUAAAAGGGCCCGUGCGUUGCAACGGAAAAAAAUAUCACACGUGGUUUAAGAUCUUAGCAAUCCAAUCACCGACUUGCAUAUGUCUAGUUCAUUCACUCCCGUGUCCAACCCGCUCAAGUGCCCAUUGCAUCUGGCUACAACGAUUCCACGAGCCCUCUCGCGGGGGCGACGAGUGUCGUCUGACCCCAGACGAACCGAUGUAUGUCCCUCCGAUAUCUUCUUAGCGUGUCCCUCAUCCUCGUCUCUCCCCCCAUUGCUCUUCCCACACUCUCGAUUCCUUCUCCCUAUCCAGCGGGGAACUACCACCAUGAGCAGCACUCCCAGUCCCCCUCUCAACGGUCCAGAUCGGAUCGGAUCGAGGCCACCACCUUCUUCCUCUCUUCCUUCACCAUGAGCAGUAGCAAAAGCAAGGAGGCCGCCGCCUUCCAGGUCACCGGUCGCCGUCGCCCAUCCCGGGCCGUCCCUCUCCUUAUUCCCUUGCUUCCUCUUCCCAAUUGCGAGAUUAAUCUCUGUUUUGCUAAUUUUAUGAAACGAAACUGCAAUUAGUAAUAGGAUCUUCAACGGGCAUGUGUUCCUCCUUUGAUUAUGCAAUGCUGAUCGGGAAUUAAAGUGCUAAAUUUUUUCUAUGUCCGAUCAGGAUUCCUUCAACAAUUAGAGAUUUCAUUUUUUCCUCCUUUGGCUUUGAUCAAUUCCAUCCCUUUCAUUCCUUUUUUGGCUUUCCUUCCUUCAUUAUUCUGUCAGAUUUGAACGGUCCCAUGAGAGCCUGCCUUACUUAAUUAGAGAUUCGGCUUUCCUUCCAUUGUUCUUCUCUCUCAGAUUUGAAUGGUCCCCCAUGAGAGCCGCUUAGUUCUCACACCCUUCGCUCAUUAAUUCAUGUGACGGCUGCUUGACAACAAGAAAAACUUAAAGGCGUAUAUAAAUUGGGAGGAUUUAAUGUAAGGGGGCGAGGUGGGACUAUAUUAUGCAUAAUAGUAAUUUUUUGUCUCUCCUUAUGUGGGUCGGCUUCAUUGAGCCCAGCGCAGGCUGCCUCCGCCUUGCCUUACGUGGAUAUAAGUGGGCCGGCUUGGAAAUAUAACGUCAGCCCAAAAGCUCAUCGCUCGAGGGAGCAGUUUAACCUGCGAAGCAUGGACUGGAGCAGUUUAACAAGAAAAAAGGUCAGAGAAUAGUACCACCUCGGAUGUAGGUAAAAAAAACAGAAAGCGUAAAUUCCCGGGAAGAAGCGCAUCGUGACGGUGAACCCACGGAGUCAAUCCGUACUUUAUUAUUAAAAAAAAAUAGCACAUAGCACAUAUGCCCGUGCGUUGCACCGGGAGAGAAAAUCUAUGUGUACUUAAAUUAAAUGUAAUGGGAAGCGGAGUGGAGCUAGCAGCAACCGUAUCUGAAUUAAAAAGACUUACUCUUUGCCGCUGUACUAAAAACCUUCAGGAUUCAUGUCGCGCCAGUCCAAAGGCUUCGGAGGCUUCCUGUCGCUCCCAUCCUCUUUGCCACUGGGCGAAGGAACUUACAAUUCUCCUCUCUGGAAGCAUAUGUAGCUUCAAGUAGUUGAAGGUAUGUGGAUGCAGAGGAAGAUGAGUAUAUGUUGAAUGUUAAUGUAAUCGUAAUCUAGAGAUUAUUAUCAGCAAAAUGGUACAUUUGCUAUGCUAAAAUUGGUUAAAAAAAUGGUUUAAUGGUAGCCUGUUGUAUCACAGAUCAUAAUACUGCUAUAAAUUUGUGUAAGCAAAAAACAAAAAGAAACAUGAACUGCCAUAUUCAAAUUCUAUCAAACCAAGAUACUGUUAUUCAUAAAUAUCUAGUGUAGAUAACAAUGCCCAAUCUGCACGAAUAGAAUAGUGGUUAGGAGAACCAGUUAAUUUUCUUGGAAAAACAUACCGAAAAAUAGAAGUGAUGGAGUGUAGCAGAUAAUCAAUAAUGUGUUGGAACAUUCAUUCACACAGUAAUAAUCUAUCAAAUGCUAGCAGUAAUGUUUCUCGCGGGAUGGGCCAAAAACAUCAAAGUAAACUAUAGGCAUCAUCAACCUAAGAUAGUAUCAAUGUUACUAAACACAUACCUUAAAGUGCAACAUGACUGUUAGUGUUUGAUAGGUUGGUAUGUGCCUCCUUAAACGCUGACCGGACUUGGGUCCACCUUGGCGCCCUCAGCUCACCCACCUCCUCAUCCUUAUUUUCAGUUAGUACCACGUACUCCCUGCCCUAUAAGCUUAGCAGCAUGUGCACCCGCUCCUGCAACACCAAGCCCACCGACCCAAAAUUACACUAUGAAGCAUCACAAACUACAAGAUGUUACAACAAGAACAACAUUCAGGUCUACAGCAAAAUUGAAGUCCACUCAAUCAUUUGUAAUACAUAACUUAGAAAUAUGUAUUGACAAUCAGAAGUGCUUCCUGUAAACAAAAUCUCAAAGGUUCUGCACCUGCAGGAACUUCCUUUUGAGUCAGAGACAUGUAGACAUGGCGGAUUCCGCUGAUUUUGGAGCGAUUCCUACACGAAGCUCCUUGAACUGAAGAAUGCGACAAGAGCAAACCCAUCAACUUGGUGCUUCACUAUUUUCAUUCAAAUCAGCCACCUAUGCAGGAAGGAACUAAAAGGGGAGGAGGGCGGACGGGUGAAAUUUAAGAAAUAAAGCUUUCGUAUGUGCAACAUCUCCAUAUGUUCCGACGUUCAACUUUUUUUAAAAAAAAAUGGGUCACAGCUUUAAAUAACAAAACUGAAUCACCUACAAUUCAUGAUGUCACACAAUGCUAACAAUAUAUGAAGUUUUACCCAUAUCAAAUGUUAAAUGAAUAAUCACUUUCUAAUUUAAAAGAGAUACAGAGUUCAGAAUAGUAUGAUGAAUAAAAAAAUGAAAAUCAACUAUGAGACACGAAUGUCAGGUGGCUUGCUAUGUUUUGUAGCACCGAUCUCCAUUACCAAAAUUGAGAUGCUGAGAAAUAGGAUUAAGAACUAAAAAAUCAACAAAGCUUAUCAAAAGAUAUGAAAAUGUUACCGUAUAAUUAUCAGACCAUCGAAUUGAUCCUUUUUCAGAUGUAGAAUUCGUCAUAUUAGGCAAUAGGAUCAAUGGACUCCUUGUGGGCUGACAUUGAGAAGCAUACAAUGGUAAUACAAUUCACCAGAUUAGCAACUCAAGUCCUUAACCCAUGCCACUUCCUUUGUUAAUUAGCAAAGCCAACUCCAAUAUGUCCGCUAAAGCAUUGUCCAUCUGCAAUGUCCUGUUUAAGAAAUUAAGACAUCAAAUUAAGCAUAGGAGGCCACUCCAGUUCUGUUAUCAAACUGCGGUGAUGUUUCAGGUCCUUAAUCAAAUUACAUUUGAAAAAUUGUCAGAACAAAUUAGAUAAAAUUAAACUAUUAAUUACUCAUGUCUAUAUGAUGACCCAAGCAAGGUGGCAACCAGAGUAUGUCGGAAUAGCUUUAUUGAGUGCUUAUAUAUCAUGGCCCAGAAUUGAAGGAUAUAUGAAAAAAAAGUGUAGGAAGAUAGAAGUAGAUCAAUAACAAAGUACCUAAAAUUACCAUACGUGCGAGAUGUCAAUGAGCCUCAAAUGCAAGCAGUGCCCUGUCGAGCACAUAGGCUGGAGCUAGGAGGCAAACC